UAAUAAUCGUUGUACUCAUUUAUUAUUAUUUUCUGAGUAAUUUCAAUAGAGUGCUUAAUUGUUGAAUUUAUAGUAGUAUCUACCACCACCUAUCAUCGGAUAUUGGCGAUAAGUGUUUGUAUUAGUGUUAAUAAUGGACUGUAAAGAGGAUAAGGCUAAUGAAGUUCAAAUUGUAGCUAAAUUGUAAAUCUCGACAUGUAGGCAAAUUCUCUAAAUUAUGCAUGAUACCCAAUUUUACACUCAAGCUAAUAUUUAUAUAAUUUUGGGCAUACCAGGCAAAUCAAGAGAGUAAAAAACACACAUCAUUAUGCAUCGUAUACUAGGCAAACCAUUGUAACAUUCCGUACCCCUCGGCAGAAAUUGUACGAUGUAUGAAUGGAACCCCCCCAGCCAUCCACAAAUCCACCAAAAGAAAAGAGGAGGAAAGAUACCCUCACAAGGAAGAGCAUCAGCAAGUAUUUCCCAGAUCACAACUGCCUCGUUAACUUCACUAGGAAGACCUGGAGAAGAACCAUACUAUCGUGUAAGAUCAGGCUUUCCCUCCUCUUUUUCCCGGGCUUGGGACCGGCUGUCUGUGGAGACAGGCAGAGUUACAAGCAUACUACCACACAAAACAGCACAAACAUACAAACAAGCAGGCCACAAUCAAGAACAAUAGAGAAGAGAGUGCAGACUUAUGUCACAAAUUACUACAUAUUCCUUCAAAGCGACACACCAAACGAAUACCAAGACUUGCCAUAUACUUAUUUUCUUCUCUUGUUUUCAUACCAAGUCUCACCUUUUAUCAUAACUGCAGACUUAACCAUUAAAUCAACUAAAUCAUCACCAUUAGUUACGGACUUGCAAAUUAGGGGAAUCAACCACUGAAACAAAUAUGAUGCAAGCAUUGUACCAAAAAGAAUUCGAAAAGGUUUAAGGAAAGCUCCAGUGAAGAGAAUGGGAUAUAAAACAGAUUUACAUACAAAAUAAAAUAAAAUAAAAAAUUUGAAAAAAAAUCAUAAUGCUAGAGACUGAUAAAGAUCAAAUAUUAUACAUUGCAAUCAUCCAAAAAAUAGACCCUACUUAUGGGACAGUCAUACAAUCACAGGGGCUUAAGCUGCACAGGCAAACCAUAUAGAACUAAUGAUAAGUUGACCUGGAAAACAGGAACUCUUUCAUUUCAUGAAAAAUCCAACGAAAUCAACCUCAAAGUUGUGUACGCACUUCAACCAAAUUAAUGAUUUUCGAUACUCGUAAACAAGGCAUUUGGAUUCCUCUCAAUUUGUCAAUCAUUUACAAAUGGUUAUAUAUGAACAUAAAAACCUGUGCCAGGGCCUGCCAAAAUGGAACCAUCUCCCAAAACAGCAACGCAUACUAUUGCCGAUCUUAGAUUGGACCUCUUGAUGCCACACCAUAUCUGUUAGGACCAUAAGCAAAGAUUGUCCAACAGCUUCUUCCCAAGGACGACAGAAUUCAGUUACAUGCACUUUAAAGUUGCAUACUAAACCUACGUACCAGAGGAUCACAAAAUUCAAGUAUGAAAUGAAAUUCACACACAAUACCAGUACCAGUGGUAUGUAAGUUGAUGACUACAAAAACAGAUUGCAUGCAUCUGUUUUUACAUGACUGACUACAAUAACAGUACCUGUUCUUACAUGACAUCAUCUGUUAUUACAUGACUGAACAAUACCAGUACCUGUUCUUACAUGACUACGAAAGCAGAUAUUGCAUGCAUCUGUUCUAACAUGACUGAAUCUAACUGAGAAUAACCGAAUUUCUCUUCCAUUCAACUGUAGAUGAUGAACGCUAGCAGCUGAGUAUUCAAUGGUGAUAGAGGAAGACUCCCGUUAGACCCUCUUCAACAAUAAUGGACAUACCAAAUACCACACACCAAAAGCCCAAGAACGAUAGGAGGCAAGAAAUAUACCUACUUCGCCAUGACCAUGAACCCAUACUGAGUUGCAUCUUAGGCCGCACCCCAUGGCAUAUCAGAAGUUUCUUUCCACAUUCAAACAUCAAAAUCGUCAAUCAAAUUCCAUGUAGACUAGGAAGAGCCACAUCUUUACCAUCUAUAUGACUUGAAAGGAGACAAAAAUAGAAAAUCCCAAUUUCUGGAUAUCUUAAAUUCACUGGAAUAAGCAUGUUUGCUACAAGAAUAUACAAAACUUUGCUAAAGACCCACCAAAACUCCUUUCAUGCUAUCAAAGCAGAAUCUGCAAACUUCAUUGAAUAUUAAAAACACCGUCGUGAAUAAACCAGGACAAACAAAAUGACACUGCAGUUGCGCUCAAGACAUCCAUUACAAAUGAUCAGGGAUAAAAAAAACCUCUACAUCUGCUUCGAUUUCAUGGGUGAUCAGUAGCAUGCAACUAGGAUGGGUUAGUAAUGCAGAAAUUCAGGCUUGAAAACAUACAUCUGAGUUCAACUCCCAGCUCUUCCUGAAAUUAAACCACAAAGAAAACCAGGCACAACCACGAGAGGAGAGCUCCUUCGAAAUCAUGUAGAUCACAAUACCAGGUAACAAUAUAACCAGAGAUUCUUGCAAAUAAGCUCCCUAAAUGGAAACCAGAUAAGACUAAUAAUAAGCCCAGCAAUAAUCACACACAGCAUAUGCAAAAUCAAUCAGGAUCAGGGUAAACCAUAAUUUUUCCCAUUCCUCUGAAGUUCUUCUUUGCAUCCCCUAAUUCUGAUAAUUCACCCCCCAUCUGUCAUUCUAUGCAAGAACAUCGAAUAGUGACAGUUUUAACAGAUCAAGAAGCUAAUUGAUGUCAAAAUUUUCCAAGAACUUAUACCGGACCCUGACGAACACGACAAACCAAAUAUUUCUAUGCACCCUUUAUUCUUUCAAAUACUUCCUAAUGAACUUCAAUAGUAAAACGCUGAAAACACAGCAUAACAGGGUAACUAUCAUGACUAAUUCAGAAUUCAUCCAUCAAAAGCUCAUGAAUACUCAUAACGAAUAAAACAUUUUUCUUGAACCUGUUACUCGAGCACCUAACCAUGAUCAAAGCUCCUAUAUCCAAUCUGCAGAAUUAAACAAAUUAUAAAGCCUGACGAAUGCAUCAGUAAUGUUUUCAACAAACACAACAGGACAGCAUGAAGAGAGAUUCCAUGAUUCAAACCACAGUACCAGGACAUCAGAACAUCUGAAAAAGAAUAACGUCCAAGAGACCUCUAACCACAGUACCAGGACAUCAGAACAUCCAAGAGACCUCUAUUUCUUCACAAUCCUCUCGCUAAGAUUAGAGUUCUGCAAGGGAUACCAGGACAUCAGAACCCAACUUAAACUCUGACACCAAGAUGAAAACCAAUAUCAGAGCCGUCUAUUAGUUGCCACCAUCCAGAAAUUUAGAUUAUAUACAUACCAUCAAAACAAAUUAGCAUACCAAGCAUAACGUUAAUUCUUUUCAGAAUUAUAUGAGUUAACAAGAAAACAGUCCCCAAAGAAAGGAAGGGCCUGGGAUUAAGCUAAUCGGAAAUUAAUGGAGCAGCCGCAAAAUCAGUGGAGGUGAAUUAGGGCUGGUUGCAGGAGUCCAGGAACUAACAGUUGGGAUUAAGCAGUGAUACACAAAUCUGUACUCUUAAAUGAGGAUCAGGAACAUGGACUUCCCAAGUGAUUACUGCCAGAAUAAUUGAUGCAUAAGGUAUUCCCAUAAACAUGAUGGACUAUAGAAGAAAAGGAUCAUGAAAAUUUUAAAUUAAAUUUAAAUUAUAUAAUAGGCUUGACAUCAGAAGAGUACCAUACUCUGUCACCACCCUCACUGGAAUUCUGUAAGUGUGUGAUUACAUGAAUAGCCAACACAGACUUCAACUUGGCACAAAGAUGAAAUAAAAAUUGUAGAUCUGCCAUAUUUAUCAAAACUGAUAAAUGUAGCAUUCAUUCUUCUUCAGACCAUGAUGAAUCGGCAACACCAAAAACCCUACCUAUACAAACAUGUUAAGAUGACAGAAUUUAACACUUGGUUAUACGCCAAUCCAUUUCUCAUGGAUCAGGAGAGUUGACUCUGCAGGAAUUACUGCCAGACCAGGUAACAAACAAUAAGAAAAGUUUAACAGAAAAAUUACAAAUAAGGUAUCAAAACCCCUAAAUUCCUCAUGCACAAAAGAUAAACUACCGACGACAGAACAGACCCCUAUGUUUUAACCACACCUCCGAAUCACUGAAAUCCAGGAUUCAACACAAAAUAAUAUAGCAAAUUAGAGAACGAGUAAAGAAAAUCCAUUUUAAAGAAAACAGCAAAAAAAAAAGGCAACGAAAGAGAGCUCAUCCAAAAUCUUGUUACAAAACUGGUUAGCAGGGCCCCAAAUGCACCAACACUCCGGGAACAAGCUCCUAAAAAUCAAAAAAGACAAAAGCCAUCACCCACCACCCCCAGUGAUUUUUUCAGGGAAAGAGAACAUAGAAAUAGCAGGUUGAAAAGAAAAUCCCCCGAUUUAUUCCCAUCCAUCCAAGAGAGAGCUCCUCGCCUACACACACCACAAAUCCACUUUUCUUGAAAGAUAUCAAAAGAAGCAGAGAAGAAAGGACAAAUCUUGAAAAAUCAACAAGAACAAAACACACAGUGAUAACUUUUCCUUGAGGAUCAGGAACAGAGACUUUCAAGAAAUUACUGACAACAAAUAAUGCAUAAGGCAUUUCUACAAGCAUGGUGGACUAUGGAGGAAGAGAUUUACAAAGAAUUUAGAUUAUACUUUCUACAGACAUCAAAAAGUACCAAAACUCUUGAAAUGCUCAAGCCAAAAAAGAAUAAUAAGAGCAUAGGUAUGAAGAUAAACCCCUCUAUAAUAAUGUACUAGCCUUCGACCUGAGGACAGAGACCUAUGUUUUGGCCACCCCUCUGAUUCGACACAGACAUAGUAAAUUAAAGAACAAGCAGAGAAAAUCAUUUUUUAAACAAAACAGUCAAAAAAAAGAGAGUAGGGAAAGAGAGCGCUUAUCCAAUAUCUUGUUACAAAACCAGUUAGCAGGGUACCAAACACACCGACACUCCUGGAACAAGCUUCCCUAAAAUCAAAACAGAAAGAAGCCAUCACCACCCUGAUUUUUUCAGGCAAGAGAGAACAAAGAAAGACCAGAUUGAAAAGAAAAUCUCCCGAUUUUAUUCACAUCCAUCCAAGAGAGAGCUCUUCUAGCCUCCUCAUACCAGAAAUCCACUAUUCUUGAAAAAUGACAUCUUGAGAAAAUGACAUCGAAAGAGCCAAAGAAGAGAAGACAAAUCUUGAAAAAUCACCAAGAACAAAACAAACCGUCAUUAACCUCAAAAUCUUUUUACCGUCUUUUUACCAAUCAACUCUAUAGGGGAACUGCUCAAAACCAGAGCAACUGAGUACAGCAAUACAAAAAUAAAGCAGAAAGCAAAACUCAAAAUUAAGGAUCACCAUCACAUCAAUUCCAUAAUUCCAAGAAGAACCGCAUCCCAUAAUUCUAAGAAACAUCGCAUCCAAAAAGCCCAUGUUCCAUCUCAAGUAGAGAGUUCUGCAAAGAAGUAUGAGAACAUGAAUAGCCUACAAAGACUUGGCACAAAGAUGAGAAUAAUCUUAAAAUAAAAACUGUCGAUAAUUUACCAUGCAAUCAGACCAAUAUGCAUAGCCUUAACACUUCUUCAGAUCAAGCUGAAUGAGCAAAAUACCAGGAACCCCACCCAUACAAAUAAACUUGAAUAAGCACAGAGAUGCACUUGGUUAUGACCCAUUCUAUUCAUCGUGGAUCAGGAAAGUUGACUCUGCAAGACAUGCCGCCAGGCCAAAAAGAUUCACAGAGAAAUUAUAAUUAAGGCAUUGAAACCCCUAAAUUCCUCUAGCACAAAAGAACAAUUUGUGUAGGUGAGAAAAUAACUCCCUCCAAAAAAUUUAACUAGCCCUUGAUCUGAGAUUGGGAAGGCAAGUUUGAAGCACGAAUCACUUCACUGAAACCCCAAGCUGCACCCUAGUAAUAUGGGAAAUUAGAGGAGAGGAGCAAAUCCACAGAUAUCCUAAUCAAUUUCAAGGAAACAGCAGAAAAACAAGUAGGGAAAGAGAGAGCUCCUCCAAAAUCUUGUAAACUGGAAUAGCAGGUCACAAAUGACGAGAACGCUCCAAUCCAAACUUCCCUAAAAUGAAGACAAUAGAUAAGCUAUUACCAACGAAUACCAACUAUUUUUAUGCAACAGAAAAAAUUGCUUGGCAGAAAAAAAAACUCCCGAUUUAUCACAUUCAUCCAUCGAAGAAAAGCUCUUUUUUGCUUCCAUCCAUCCAAGAAUCACAAAUCACUUCACUGAAACCCUAAGUUGCAGCACCAUAGUAAUAUGGGAAAUUAGAGAACAAGGAGCAAAUCCACAAAUUUCCUAAUCAAUUUCAAGGAAACAACAGAAAAACAAGUAGGGAAAGAGAGCUCCUCCAAAAUCUUGUAAGCUGUAAUAGCAGGUCACACAAAUGACGCGAAUGCUCCAAUCCAAACUUCCCUAAAAUGAAGACAACAGAUAAGCUAUUACCAACGAAUACCAGCUAUUUGUAUGCAAAAGAAAGAAUUGGUUGGCAGAGAAAAAAAUUCCCGAUUUAUCACAUUCAUCCAUCCAAGAAGCUCUUUUUUGCUUCCCUCCAUCCAAGAAUUACUUCCAUACGCAGAACUCCAUCAUUCUCAGACCACAUCAAAGAACCAGAAAAGAAGACAACCUUUAAACAUCAACCAGAACCAUUCAAGAAUAACUACAUCAACAAACCGCAAAACCUCAAGAUCAAUCCUCAAUCAACACCACAGAGAAAUUGCUGAAACCCAGAGCCACGACAUAUAGCAGCAACACAACCUAAAGCAACGACUGAAACACCAAUGUUGAGCCCCAAAUAAGAGAUUAUGUUCAAAUACGUCCAAUUAAUUCACAGAAUAACAUACAAGAGACCUUCCUCUCAUUAAAGUUGCCAGUGACACAAAAAGCCAACAAAAAUGAAAUUGGAUGCAAAGAUGAGAACUGACAAAUGAAUUGACAAAUUCAGAUAAUCUACCAUAACACUAAACCUAUUCAUGUAACAAGCAUAAACUUGAUUCUUGUUCGGAUCAAGAAGAAAAUUCUAUGGGAACUACCUAGAAAAACAUCUUUGAUGGCAGAAUUUAAAAGCUAAGAAAUACCUGACAGCAGCAAUAUUGCCAUAUUGACACAAUCCUAAGCAUCUGAGGACCAUAUGGAACCAAAAUAAAUUCAAAACCCUGAAGACAACAAAUGGGCAAAGAUAACUCUGAUGGAGAAGCAGCAAAGUAUGUGCAGGCAAAUUGGAUGGAGAGGUUGAAAGCUAUUUCAAUGGUGUUUCUCCCGGAGUUCUGAAAAGAAAAAUACUCAACAAAACUGUGUACAGGUAUCAAAAGGUGCCAAAAGCAUAAAUUCCUAAGUAAAAGAUUGUAAGAAGAUAACUCCCUCCAAAACAGUUUACCAUCUGAGGAAGGAAGGCUCAGUUAUCACAACUCCAAAUCACUGAAACCCGGUAUUGCACAACACAGAUUGAUGCAGGAAAUCAGAAAACGAACACAGCUGUCUCACAGAGCAAACCAGCACCUUUAGCCAGAGAACUCCCUAGUCAAACAGCAGAAAACAAGGACAGAGAACUUCUGGAAUCUUGUAAACCAGUAUAGCAGGAUAAAAAAUGCAACCAGACCCUCUUGCAUUCAAGCUCCCCUAAAUCAAUACAACAGAGAGGGCCAGUUACUAAUUGACUCCCCGCCUAAUUUUUUCAGGAAAUAAAAAAGGAAACCAAAAAGGGAGGGGGGAAAAACUCCCAAUAUCGUAUAAUAUUCGGAUGCAAUAUCUUUUUUAGCUCCACCUAAGACUAGGAUUCUGCCAGCUCCACCUAAGACUAGGAUUCUGCCAAGCCACGAGGAGGACAUCAAAAGAACAAGAAAAAGAAAAGACGACGAUCUUGAUAACAAAGAACAAUCGGGAAAUUACUAAUCAACAAACCCGACAAUUGUAAAAACACAAAUCUUCAUCAAUCUUCGAACGACACCACACCAAAACUAUUCAAAGUCCAGAGCACCACCUACAGCAAUAAGAACAACAAUAACCAUACCACAGAUACGAAAAAAAAACUCCAGGAUUCAGAUUACGCUUACAUCCAUCCAAGAGAGAGUUCCUUCCCACUGUACAUGCCCGAAAUCCAUCAUUCUACAGUAAGCACAUCAAAAAAACCAGAAAAGCACUAAUUUUGGAGGAGACUUGAUGUCAAAUUUGUCUGAUAAUUGGAAUUAUCCAGAAAUUACCACAAAAACAAACCAAAACUACUGCAAAAAAUGGUAUCCUUCCCGUUCAAUCCUUCGAAAUACCAGAGCCACUGCCCGGAAACAACCAUGAUUAAAUCUCAAAAAUUGCCAUAACAAAAUUAGCGAUAAUAAGCUUCAAAUUAAUCAAAUCAUCAAACCAUAGAAGCAACGGUCGAACCCAGUGAAGAUCAUCAAUUGAAGAUCCUAACCUUCUGCUGAAACAAAAAACCACAACAAUUGAAUCUCACUUAGGGAAAACCUAAUCCUAGACUCAAGAGAAAGAGCAGCAAAGUAGGUGCAGGCAAAUUGAAUGGAGAGGUUGAAAGCUAUUUCAGCAGUGUGUGUCCUGAAGUUCUAAAAAAGAAAAAAAAAACUCGAGAAAACAGCGUGCAGAUAUCAAAAGGUGCCAAAAGCAUAAAUUCCUCAAGCACAAGAUUAUGGGUGAGAAAACUCCCUCAAAAUCAGUUUACCAUCCGAGGAAGGCAGGCUCGGUUAUCACCACAACUCCGAAUCACUGAAACCCUAUAUUGCACAACACAAUCCUAGACUCAAGAAAAGAGCAGCGAAAUAGGUGCAGGCAAAUUGAAUGGAGAGGUUGAAAGCUAUUUCAACAGUGUGUCCUGUAAGUUCUAAAAAAGAAAAAAAAAUCGAUAAAACAGCGUGCAAAUAUCAAAAGGUGCCAAAAGCAUAAAUUCCUGAAGCACAAGAUUAUGGGUGAGAAGAUAACUCCCUCCAAAUCAGUUUACCAUCUGAGGAAGGAAGGCUCAGUUAUCACCGCAACUCCGAGAAGACCCAGAGGAAGGAAGGCUCAGUUAUCACCACAACUCCGAAUCACUGAAACCCUAUAUUGCACAACACAAUCCUAGACUUAAGAGAAGAGCAGCGAAAUAGGUGCAGGCAAAUUGAAUGGAGAGGUUGAAAGCUAUUUCAACAGUGUGUGUCCUGUAAGUUCUAAAAAAGAAAAAAAAAACUCGAUAAAACCGCGUGCAGAUAUCAAAAGAUGCCAAAAGCAUAAAUUCCUGAAGCACAAGAUUAUGGGUGACAAGAUAACUCCCUCCAAAUCAGUUUACCAUCUGAGGAAGGAAGGCUCAGUUAUCACCACAACUCCGAAUCACAGAAAUCCUAUAUUGCACAACACAAGUAAUGAAGCAAAUCAGAAAACGAACACCUCGCUGAGCAACUCAGCAUCUAUAGCCAGAAAACUCCGUCAAACAGCAGAAAAGGAGGACAGAGAAAACUUCUCUCGAAUUUGGUAAACCAGUAUAGCAGGGUAAACCCUCUUGCAUCCAAGCUCCCCUAAAUCAAUACAACACAUAAGGCCAGUUACUGAUAGACUCCCCGACUAAUUUUUUCAGGAAAUAAAAAGGGAAACCAAAAAAGGGACGAGGGAAAACACUCCCGAUGCCGUAUAAUAUUCGCGUCCAGAAAGUCUUUUUUAGCCCCACCGAAGACUAGGAUUCUGCCACGCCACAACGAGAACAUCAAAAGAACCAGAAAAAGAAAACACGAAAAUCUUGAUAACAAAGAACGAUCCAGAAAUUACAAAUCAACAAACCCAACAAUAGUAAAAGUUGAAUCUUCCUCAUCAAUCCUCGAUCGUCACCACACCAAAACUACUGAAAGUCAAGAGCACCGCCUACAACAAUAACAACCACAAAUAUGAAUGAAAUAAAAACUCCAGAUUCAGAUUACCCUCACAUCCAUCCAAGAGAUAGUUCCUUCCCACUCCACAUGGCCCGAAAUCCAUCAUUCUACAAGAACCACAGCAAGAAAACCAAAAAGAAGAACCAAAAAGGGCUAACUUUGAAGGAAAUUUGAUGUCAAAUUUGUCCGAUAAUUGGAAUGAUCCAGAAAUUACCACCAGAAAUUACCACAUAAACAAACCGAAACUAGUGCAAAAACUGGUACCCAUCCCGUUCGAUCCUUCAAAACACCAGAUCCACCGCCAAAAACACAAUCAUGAUUAAAUCUCGAAAAUCACCAUAAAAAAAUUAGCGAUAAUAAGCUUCAAAUUAACCAAAUCAUCAAACCAUAGAAGCAACGAUCGAGCCAGCGAUGAUCAUCAAUUGAAGCUCCUAACCUUCAACUGAGGCAAAAAUCCACAGCAAACGAAUCUAAUUUAGGGAAAACCUAACCCUAGAACCUAAACAAAACCUACGACGAAGAAGAGCAGACAAAUAUCUUACCACACAACUAGCAGGCGAAAAUGGUAAGUGUCGGUGGAUGGGAUUGGGUAUUUAUAGAUGUUUGGGAAGAGAAUGAACGGUUAGGAUUAAGCUGAAAUCUGUGAUCUGGUCGGUUGAAAAGAGGUCUUAUCCAAAAGUCCGCUAGGACUUGGGCUAAGAUUCUCCUACGCGUAUUGUACAAAAGUCGGUUGUUUAUUUAAUUUAGGAAAUUUGGCCACCACAAGAUUUAUAGAUUUUUUAUUUAUUUAUUCUUUUACCAAAAUUAUUUUUGAAAAAAUCCUUGACAGCUUGGGAAACAUUGGACUUGUUUGGACAGGAAGAAUUUGUAAAAUUUGGAUUGCAAAUUUGUUUUGUAUGAUUUGUAAUAUGUGAAGAUGUUUUGUUUUGGAAGUUUGUAAUUUGAAUUGUGGCAGUCCGGAGGGAAGAAUUUAGACCGUAAUUAUGAAAUUGUCAGGAAUGGAAGAAUUUUCACUUCCUUAGUCAAAUUUGUUGGUGUCCGGUCCCACUGCAGGAGAGAGACGGAUUCUUGAAUACUUUUGGCACUUCAGCAGAGAGUGGUGUGUAUGGGCCAAACAUAUGAAAUUGACCGGGUCCCACAGUUUCAAUUCACUUUAGGAACGUGGGAGGACAAUUCACGGCAAUUAAAGAGCUGAUGAAUUGGCACCUGAUGAAUUUUUGGCCAGCUACAUUGCAGUGGUCAAAUGCAAACUGUUUUUGUUCUGGGGGGAACCCAUCAAGCUAUUGAAGGACGAUAUGUACUACGAGUAACAUGGAAAUUGGACGAGACUGCAUAGGAUUUGCACGUUCGGGCAAGUCUGUCCACCAUCUAUGGAGGAGAAUGCUGGAAUUCUGUUUGCAAUCACCUGUAAUCCUGUUUGCAAUCACCUGUAAUCACCUGUAAUUGAUGCGUUGUUUUAUUUAAUUUUUAACUAUUAAACUGCAGGAGGAGAAUUAGGAAAGGUGUCUAAGUCGAGGAAAAUUAGCCCUAAGUUUUGCAGCAAGGCUUGUCUAGAGACCUACAAAAUAAAACUCCUGACUUGCUGAUAGAAAUAGCAAACGACAUGCAACAAGAAUAUAUGAGGCACAUACAGGAUAUAGAAGAAUUACAAAUAUAGAAUUACAACGAGUAGCAACGUCCAUAUUUAGGGUCACAAGAUAUAUAGUCGGGCAUGACAAAUUAUUAAAGGUACUUGGUCAUUCUUGUAGGCGCCUCUAGCGAAUAUCAAAUCAUGGGUUCACCUGUUUCAUGCAUUUUAUCGCCUAUUUCUAUAGGCAUUGAACAUAUGCGUAGCCAGUGUGUCUCUCAUGCCAAUCCAUUGCUCAACAACUUCAGGCGGAGAAUGCAAUGGCUGUAUCUCGGGAUAAGGAGGAAUUGCACCAUGAAUAUCUAGAUCUCCCUCCUCCGCGUCAGCAAAGUACAUGUCAUUCGGUUGUUGAUCCCUAAUGAAGUUAUGCACGGCACAACAAGCAAUAACUACAUUUAUCUGUGUUGUCAUCAUGUAGUUCGGAACGGCUCCCCUUAAAAUGGCAAAUCUCCUUUUUAGGACACCGAAACUUCGCUCUAUGACAUUCCGUAGUGCAGAGUGCCGGUAAUUAAACAGCUCUUUCGCAGUUGCAAAUCUCCCCCUCCUGCGACCACUAACAUCAGCUUGGCGUCCCCUAUAUGGUGGUAAGAAACCGGGCAAGUUUCGAUACGCGGAGUCAACCAAAUAAUAUUUUCCUAAGUCAAUUAUGAGAUAGGAACGAAUUAGCUUUGACCAUUUCGAACUUUCUGAUCUUUCGUACAAUUUAUUGAAUAUCGGUACGAUUUGAUAAACAAUUUGAAUGGAAGAUUUACUAAAGAAUGUUCAAUUGAAAAAUGGUUUUUCAAAUAUACUUGCUAAGGCAAAUUUAAGACAGCAAUUUAAGAGAUCCAAUAUAUAUAUCAUUCGGUCUGCUAAGGAAUGGGAUAAAAAUAUGCAAUUGCUUUCCAAAUUUACGUGAAGGGAGGGAUUACUUGUAUUACCUGUAGGAGGCAUGGGGAAGUGAUUUGGGCCGGUCAAAGCCCCAUCUAAGACUCGGGCAUCAUGUGCACUUCCUUCCCAACCGGCAUACACGUACACAAAUCGCAUAUCAUGGUCGCACACAGCCAAAACAUUUUGUGACUGUACACCGUGUCGAUUAGUGUAUGCCACUUGUUGUCCUCUUGGGGCACAAGCAGGUAUAUGUGUCCCAUCAAUAGCUCCGACGCAGUCCUAAAAUUUUAAAUUAUUAAAAUGGACAUAUUCUCGGGAUUCUGAAAUGGAUCUGCAUUAAAAUGUCAUUUAAAAAAAACACUCCAGUGGCAUACUCUUCGUCCAUGUCACACCCAAAAUUUCUGACAGAAGACUUAUCUCUACUGCAACGUCAUGACAAAUCUACCCAAUUGGUUUUUAACAUCAAGAAUGUACCCAGUGGGGUCAACCACUUUUUUGUUUUCUGGAUUUCUGGGCAAAGUUCAUCAAACGCAUGGAAAUAGGUGGAAGUGCUAAAGAUGAAAAAAGUUCAGGUUCAAAGAGGGACAAGUGAGAAAGCUACGGAGCCAGGAAUUUAUUUUUGGGGGGCUGAAGUGUAUUAAAAUUUUUUUUUUGUGACGAAAUAAAUACAUUUAAUAAGUAAAAUUUAGAAUCAAAUAAAUAUAUUUAAUAAGUAAAUAUAUUUAAUAAGUAAAUAUAUUUAAUAUAUUAAAUAAGUAAAUAUAUUUAAUAUAUUAAAUUUUAGAAAUUGCAUGUCUUCUAUUUCGACGUUUCUGAGAUAGAUUACCGUGUUUAUACAGCCAUCACACUCAUGUCCCACUAAUAUUGCAUAUGUGUGAUUAAUGUGAUAUACAUUGGGGAAAAGAAAAAGAAAAAUUAGGUGACAUGUGAAGUCAACUAAAGGCGACGGUGAGGCCUUGAUCCUCAAUAUAUAUAGGGGACAUUUGUUAGACUUGUUCUGCUCUGAACUUGGACAUUUGUUACUCUUUUUCAUGCGUGAAGAGGAUUAGCUGUUUCUAACUCUUUUUCCUGAAGUAACCAUGUAAUGAUAUCCCACACUGCAUAUCAUGUAAUGGGAACAAUUGUUAAUUUUAUGUCUGGUUAAAAAUUUCCCUUUUUCUGGAGUCUGGAUUAAAUUUUAAAAAUUUUCAUACUAGACUUGCAUAGACUUCUUCGCAGGGAACGCAAAACUCAAUAGGCCUGCACUUUCCAAACUUGACUUGCUGUUGACGGUGGACAAACCUGUAAUUUAUUUGCUAUCUAGAGUUUGUAAAAGUCCACUGACGCUGAUGGUUCCUAAUUGAAAUUUUAUUCUGUAGUUGGCAUUACUGAAAAAAAAAAUGAUGUGCUCAUCCUCCUAGUGUUGUUAGACAAAAUUCCAAUCCCAAAAUUAACUCUUUUGCCGAAAACAAGAAAAGAUAUGGCAUUUCCUUAUUUUGUUAAUUAUUUGAUGACCUAAAAUAUUAAGCACAGAAUUACAAAUCCAACCAAUAACAAGUAGAAAUUCUUAACAACAACAUUAGGUGGUUCCCUAAUGUAAAUUAAAAUAUUCAUGUCCAUUUAUAAGCUAUCAACAUGAAUAAAUAAAAUAGUUGGCAUAUUAGAAUGUCAGCAUACUUGAAAAAAAGAAUUUUAUAUAUAGAGGACAAAGGAUUUGGAACAAAGGAUUUUUUGAAUCAACGAGAUAGGAUUUUGAAUGUCACCGUACUUCAAACCAAGGAUAAAACCUCGUGUCAUUAAGAAUUUUCGGAUGAAUUUCAUCCUGCCAUCUUGGAGUAAUUGCGAAUUGCGCGAAGGUGCAUAGGCCCCGAAUGACUUCGUGAAUAUUUCGAUGUACUGUCUCCGUCGAAUGGUUAAAUCGAUCAGCAAUCAUACGCAUUCUCAUGUUGUGGCUCAUCAUGACCAAUGUCAUCGCAAGUGCCUCCUCUAUUGUAACCCUUUUCUGAUGAUUUUGGGGAACAAAUCCGCAUUCGGCCAAAAGCUGGCACAACCUCAUGAAAGAAUCAACGUUUAGCCUUGUUGCAUCCAUGAUCCGGGUAUGGUGGCCUGACAGCACUUCCUCAACCCAGUGUCGUCCUGACAGCGCAGACGUCCUGCAUGGCACCUUCUGGAGUGGACCUCCGUAUGGUUCUGCAUUUGGUCCAAAUAGCAGCGCAGCACCCGCAGCAAAAAGAACAUCGUCUUCGUCCGAAGACGAGCUGGUCCCCUGCUCAUCUCCGAAGUCGCUCAUUUGGAACCUUUCCCACCAAAUAUGUUGCCAGGAACAAGUAGUGUUUAGCCCAAAUAGAGGAUGCUAUAUAAGAGCUGUGUGAGGUCUGAGUUAUCACAUGCUCUCUUUCCGUAUGUUAUUCUCGGACUAUGGUAUUUUUUGCAUGGGGUCCAAUGGCCUGACAUCACGUGAAUAAUUAUUGUCUGCAAUUAUUUCACCGUGUCGGUAGGUCAUCUUUGGAUGCCAAAACAAAUGACCUGUGGGCAGCUUUUGCCAGGCACAAAUCGGAAAGGCCUGUGGGAGUAUCUACUUUCUUGCUCCUCUCUUUUGGAGUUUUGUGUAGAUGGUGGCCUUGCAUAAUGAAUAUGGUAUGUGUAGAGGUUCUGUACAUAUGCUUGACUCAUAUGUUGAAGAUCUUUUCAGUUAUAUGAAAAAUCAAUUAAAAAAGAGGAGAAAUGACUUCAUUUGCUUUUGUUACAAAUCACUCGUGCUUCAUUUGCUAUUUUCUCCUGCGUACCAAGUCCUAACAUUUGAAGAGUUAUUUUUUCCAACCAGGACAGGAACGAAAUCUGUGAGCAUCUAUAUUUGGCAGUAGAAGAGUAGUAUAUGAAAAUUGGCAAAGAAUGUUGCACGUCAAUAAUUGAGUAACCAUGAUAUGUAACCACCAAAGAAUGUAACCGGCAAUUGAGUAAUGAAUAUAAUUCCUUCCUGAUGAAUGCCAGAGGCAUGAUAUGUUCAAUGCGUUUCGACUUCUCUACAUAUGCGAACCCAGUAUAUAUAUGUCAGACGGCAAGUCCGACAAGCUCUCGUGGUUUACUCCUGUACAUAGCUUUCAACCUGCAACUGCUAGCUACUUAUUGAAUGUUUAAUACAGGAGUAACGAUAAUAUAUAUAACUCCAAGCCAAAAUAACUACAAAUGAAACAGUUCCAAUUCAUUCCACCGGGAAAAAGACAACUCAACAUCGACAAGAGUAUGCAAACUAAAUAAUACAUAUUGGCAGUACAUAGAAAAUCAAUUGCAGUAGCCAAAUUGCAGUAGCCAAUUUGCUUUGGUACCAAAAGUCCCAAUACAAAUCUUUUUUCAAUGUCCAGAAGAGUCAAAUGAAUAGCGCAAUUUCAUUCCAAUCUAUCAGUCGAAAGUAAGCUAAGCCGAAGGGACACAAGCAAGGCCAAGUGAAGUCUACUUUCCAUCGGGUCCCUUAGGAGGGGGUUUCUGUAGAGUCUGCAACCAAAACUCCUGCAUCUCGCGACUAAGACUCAGGAAAGUCUUCCGCCACUUGUCGUCUUGGAGUGCCAAAACUGCAGCGAGCUUCACCUCUUUGUCCAGUUCUUUGAACGAUUCCACAACCUGGGCUCCCAUUUCCGGUCCAAAUUUAUCCUUUUCAGAUUCUCGGCGACUCCUGAUAUGCAGCUUAGAAUUCGCUAGGGUGGAUAGUGAGUUGGCACACUCCACGAAUGGAUCAGACGAAGUUCUACUUGACUUGCUUCCCCGGGAUGCACUCGGGCCCGAGCUCGUUAUCCCCUGGCUGCUUGAACCUCGCUUCACUCCAGCAAUUGGAGUAUCUUCAUCGAAACCAGUCCCCUGCCCGGCAUUGUAGAUUUCAUCUCCCAGGGGCGAUGAGAAAACCUGCCCAGAACUUUGGCCAGCUCGUUUGCGUGGAUUGUAAAUUGAAGGCGGUACUGAAGAUGCCUGCGCUUGACUCCCUGUGGCGGUUUCUGCUUCAAAGACCUCGUGCAGGAUUGCGUAUUUGUCGACACAUUGGCCGGAUCUAAAGUAUCCAUAAUCCUUAUUCUCCUGAAUCAAAGACAAAACAAGGACUGAGAAACAAGAGUAUGCAAAUCUGAUGUAAACUGGUUUUUUAUAAUUGAGAGGACAACAAGUACAUUUGAAGAGUAGUAUAUGUUCCCUUAAUCAACAUAUAGAUACCAGGCAAGAGUAGUAUAUGUUCCCUUAAUCAAAAUAUAUCAUGAACAGGUAACCGAAUAGUGAAUGAUGGCAAAAAGAUAAGGCCAAAGUUUUUAGUUCUGCUUUGGAACUGAAUUUUACGUCGAAAUUAAAAAAUACCAGGCACAAAUUGUUCCAUUGAGAGGGUUCUCCCAAGAAGCACCUCCUAUUCUCGUCCCAACCAAUACCAGUUUCGGAAGUUUGUCGCAGACCCUUUAACUUGGCAAAGCAGCGCCAAAUCUUCUUCAACCGUGCCAGUUUAGAAUGGUACACUGUCCAUGCAUAUUGCUUCCCCCAGGCGGCAUUCAAGUGCGCAGCAAGCUUCAUCCAAUUGGCCUCUGAUGCAACGUUUGGAUUCCACUCCCCACUCCUUUUCCACUCGACGAAUGUCAUACAGAAAUGAAUCUCCAUAUUUUCAUCCCAAUGGGCCUUUGCCGUGGUGUGGUCUCGUGGCAUCUGAAACAAGGAAACCAAACGGAUUGCUAAGCAUUAAUAACAAUCUGGUUGAAGGAAGAACAAUUGACAGAUUACAAGAUCAUGGCAAUUCAUUGUACGGCUAAAAUCCUAUUUAUCAAAGCCACUGCAGCAAAGCAAGUGCAAAGCUUGGAUCCACGAAUUUCAAUGCCCACCGAAUCAGAAAUACGAUUUAUCCAGUGACACGAGCUCUAUAAAUUUAAACCCAUUAUAAUUCAUAGACAUGUUUUAAAUAUGGGACAAAGUGAUAAGAAUAUUAAGGCUUAAAAGAGCUCGUGUACAAGUACUCAUACAAACUAUAUUAUACGGUAAAAAUAAUAGAGAUCAUGGUCGUAUACACCAAAUAGCAAAUACUUAUCCAUGGACUCGGGAAUGGUUCGAGAUACAAUCUGGUCUGCCUAAGAAUAUAAGAGCGCAGGUAAUUAGCUUUUACUACUCAAAAUUUUUUAUUUGGGAUUGAUGAAUGGACUGAUUUGAGAACAGAGGCCAGUUAACUUGGAUAGAGUCCAAACUUACUCUGAAAUAGUUGACGAGGGACUGGAUGUAGUCGUUCGAGUCUGUGGCAGAGUGGACGGAUGAAGGUUCAGAAAGACGGGGUGGAGUAGUAGGGCCGGACAGUGAUCUCCUCCGCUUGCUGGGCAUUUACUGGUGCUCUACUUCGGCCAAAAGGUCAUGGCACGCACGGACCUCGGACUAGAUCAUAAACCACCUGAGGAAUAUUUAUUGCAGCAGGCAGAUAUGCUCACUGGUACAUGUGGAGGUAAUAUCCGAGAAUGAGCAAUUAUUAUAAAGAAAGGAUGGGGAACUACUACUGGGUUAUAAAAUAUUUCCCUAUGCAUCCAUUCGAUAUUUUGGAUCAGUUGGGAAACCAUUUUGUCGCUUUGUAAGCUGAUGAAUAUGGCCGGCAAUAGAAGGCAAAGUCUUCAAAACGUUAAAAGGAUAUAGUCGAGUUUUCUAUAAAAUUUAUACAAGAUCAUUCUAUUUAUAAGCCUUUGGAUCUUUUAAGAAACAAAUUAUGCUACAAAUUGCCAGAUAACUACAUGGAUUUAGGGUUUCUCGUCCAUGUUUUUUAUUUUUCUGAUCAUAGUCCCCUUAUUUGCUCAAUUAGCUAAUUAAUUGCCGGAUGGUAAUCUAUGACUAGAAUUGGUUGGAUACUUUUCUGUAUACAGAAUUGAUCCCUUAGAAUUAUAUUUAAUGAUGUAAGUUAUUGAUCCCUUAGCAUGUUUUAGGAGUGCUAAUCAAUAAUAUUCUAAGCCAGGGCAAGAGUAGUAUAUUCUUAAUGCAGACAUUAAUUGAAAAGAGGAGCUCCUUUUAUUCAUUGAAAAGGUUGUACCAGCAGCUUCAACCAAAAAGUAACGAGCAUGGCCGAACCUCCUCUGCGUCAUUGGUACUUCUAAGUGAUCGGGGAUUUAAUUUUAAAAUAUGAAAUUUUAACAUGAUUAGUAGAUCCAAUAUAUUCAUCUCAAUUAUAUAAAGGAAACCUAUUUGACAACAUAUAUGAAAUCAGAAGAGCAUAAUUUUGUAAACUAUUAGUACGGAUACCAGCAAUAGCACCAACAUUUUCAGCAUUUUGAAAAUCUAGUGAAUGGCCUGAUCAAAACAUUAGAAAAAAGGGCCGACUGAUUAAGAAGAAAACUGAAUUGGGAUUGGCUUCCAAAUUACACGUAAUCUGUGAAUAUUAGGGAAUGUAGAUAUAUAUGCGUAAACCAAAAAGGAUUUUGAAGGGCGGGUGAAUAUAUAUUGGGCAAACGAGGGAGGGGCUUUGGGUAUAUGUGACCUACAAAAUACACACUUAAGAAUCCCGGCCAAAUCAUGAAAUUGAGUAGUUAAACCAUAUUACCAAUCUCAGACAGGAAAUGAUAAUAUCAAAAUUAUACCUGCCAAAUCUGAUUUUAACUUGGAUAGAGAAGUCUGGCCUUCCGAUUUUCCGCAAAAGAUUUCUGGAUUUCUGAUUUCUGUGUUCGGUAUUGACAACGCCGUCUGCUCCUAUGGCUUGCCAAAACCCAGACGAUCUCCUUCUUCGUUCAGACCCUUUAGAACAAACCAAGCGCUUAAUCAACCCACUUUCACAGCCAACCGAUUUCUGCAAAUCUUCCUCUUCGGUACUUGGUCGCACAAGCAAGUUAGGCAAUUUAAGAUUUUGGGGUGAAAUGAUUCUGCAGGAGGACAGAGCUGCAUAGAGUUGUUUUGGGGGAGAAAAGAGUUAAACGAAGGUUUUGCAGGUCGUUUUGUUACAAAGACCAACGGACGGAUCACGGGCCAGACAAAGCAUGGGUGUCUGGCCCUAGAUGGGACAUUAAAUUCGUUUAUCUGGCACUUCACGUGAACAAGUAGAAUUUCUCUUCCUUUUAUGGCUUUUGUGGGGUCAACCAUCGCGGCUAACCAAAACUUGUAGUCCGACGUGUCCAAACAAGAAUUUCAAAAAUUAACUUGCUGUAGUAAACUCCGCAAAGCAAAAGUACUGUCCAAACAAGUCCAUUCUCAACACUUCCCUGUUGAAUUGUUGACAGCUGGACUUUGAUAUCAGUAGUACUUAUCUUGUGAGAAGAACUGUUUUUUGUUAUUAUUUUCUAGAGUUCUCGCAAAGAAUAUAUCCGUAGAAAAUGUAAAAAAAAAUUUAUUAAAAAAUCAAUUCGUAGAAAAGACAUAAUUUUUUUGAAGAAAUAUGGCAAUCAUAACAAGGAUUACUUUGGUAAAUAGUAAAAUUUUAUUAAAAAAUCAAUUCUUAGAAAAGACAUAAUUUUUUUGAAGAAAUAUGGCAAUCCGAACAAGGAUUACUUUGGUAAAUAGUAAAUAAUUGAUUUGUUUGGACAGAUUAUUAUUUUAAAAAAUAUUUUCAAUUACAUCUUAAACAGUUGACAUAAACAUGUUGUUGGUAUAUUUAUGUUCAUUAAUAUAAUCUCCUUGAUUUUUUUAUUUGUGUGAAUAAAUAAAAUAGUUAAAAGUUUUAAUUUCAGUUACAAUCUCAUAACAAAAUAGCGAUUGAAAUGCAAUAUAGAUAGCAAGUUUGAGUAGGGAUAUCGGGUACAUCUAUGUUUAUUAGUAUAAUCUCCUUGAUUUUUUUAAUAUAUGUGAAUAAAUAGAUACUAAAAAUCUUUAAUUUCAAUUACAAUCUCAUAACAAAAUAGUGGUUGAAAUACAAUAAUAGAUAGCAAGAUGGAGUAGGAAUUGUUGUGUGAUUGAUGUUAUAGAUAAUUAUUUUAAAAAAAUUGAUAAAUAAUUAUUAUUCAAAAAUAUUUUUAAAUUCAUUAUAUCGGGUACAUCUAUGUUUAUUAGUAUAAUCUCCUUGAUUUUUUUAAUAUGUGUGAAUAAAUAGAUACUAAAAAUCUUUAAUUUCAAUUACAAUCUCAUAACAAAAUAGUGGUUGAAAUACAAUAAUAGAUAGCAAGAUGGAGUAGGGAUUGUUGCGUGAUUGAUGUUAUAGAUAAUUAUUUAAAAAAAAUGAUAAAUAAUUAUUAUUCAAAAAAUAUUUUUAAAUUCAUUAUAAAUACUCGUACUUUACAUCAUAAAUAUGUUGGUAUAUCUAUGUUUGUUUAAUAUAAUCUCGUUGAUUUUUUUUAAUAUACAAAAUACUCAAAAGUUUUAAUUUCAACUAUAAUCUCAUGAUGAAAUAGGUGUUGAAAUGCAAUAAUAGAUAGUAUAUUAUUUGUCAAAAUUUAUUUAUUUAUAUUAUUAAUAUAUUUUUUAAUUACUCUUUAUCUCACAUACAUUAUAAAAAUGCUACAUUAUUUUUUCAAAAAAAUUAUUUCAAAUAAUCUAUUAUUCAAACACAGGCGGCAUACAGAUAUUGUUGGCUAAUUGACGUGGUAGAUAAGUAUUAGACAAAAACAUUAAUAAGCAAUUGAGUGCUAAUUAUAUUUUUCGAUUGGACAAAAAUGUGAAUUUGGAGACCUUUCUUUUUCUUUUUUUUAAAAAAAAAAUGGACUGAGUGAGAAAGUCAAAUGGUCUAAGGGUCUGUUUGGUUGGCAGUAAAAUGUUUUUCUUGGAAAAAUAUUUUCCGUGGAAGUAAUUUUUCAUGAAAAUCAUUUCUCUUUCAUUAUUUUCAGAUGUUUGGUUAGUUUAUUGAAAAUAUUUUCUUACUUCAUUUUUCUGGUGUUUGUUUAACUUUUGAAAUAUUUUCACUUUUAUCUCUAUCUUUAUUUUCUACACAUUAUAACUACAUACUUCUUCUCAUGCAAAAUAAGAAAAUUUAUCUCAUUAUUUAACUUUAAAAAAUCUUGGAGAAAUGUAUAUAUGAAUAAAAAAUAUCUCCUUAAGCAAUAAACAAAUUGCUAGCCAUUUAGUGUUAAAUAUCAAUCACAUGCAAUGCUUAUUGUGACAUAUAUCUUGCACUCUCACUGCUGAAAGUUUCUCUAGAAAAGAAUGUCCCUAUUAUACAUAAUUAAUUACUAGCAUAGGAUGAGUAGGAUGAGGUUUUUUUUUUUAUUAUUUUGAAUAUACUAGGGGGAGAGUUGGGUUGGGUUGGGUGGUACGGGGGAGGGAGUGUAAGGAAGAGAUCUUGAGUUCGAAUCCUUCUGUUUAUACUAAAAAAAAAAAGAACAUACUACAAGAUAUUUUCAGUAAGUUUGGAACAUGCUACAGGCGGGAUGCAUGCAUUUUGGAAAACAACUUCAGUAAGUUUGGAAGGGAAGUUGUUUUCCAUAAGAUGAGUGAAAAUAUUUUACAUAGGAAAAUGUUUUCAGUAACUUUUGUGCAACCAAACACGGGAAAUUAGGAAAAUAUUUUCCUGAAAAACAUUUUCACCCGAAACAAACGGACCCUAAAUGAAGCAUAAGAAGACUCCAGAUUUCUGUGAAGUUGAUAUUGGGCUGGAGUACUCCAGAAAAUUCCAGACUCCUCUGAUGUCUCAUUAGGCCCAUCUUGAAAAUGAACUCCAUCAUUGCCCAGUUGGGCUGACAAUAUGCACCAUGUUCCUGUAAACUUCUACGAGACCGGGCUUCAGCCUUUAAUGUUUAAGCUUUGUAAUCAUUCUUCAGUUUCUAGGAGAUUGGGCUUGGCAGCUGAUUUGUGGGCACUUUGCCAUGGCAUCUGAAGUUUUGACAUGCUAGAGUCGAGUCGAAUUCUCAAGUGGAUAUUCAACUUGUAAAUCAGAUCAUGGGUGUGGAAAUUGGGAACUUGUCACCAGAUUUUAUGGAUGUUUCCUUCCUUCAUUGUGCUACUAUUACGUAACUGGCAAUUAGGUCUCCGAUUGACCCAAAAAAAAAAGACUUGGGUAUUUAAUAUUUUUGCUUCUUUGUAAUUCUUUUUGGUACAAAGUGUCAUCAUAAAUUUAUGACCUUUAUGGUCGAUAUGUGAGAUUUUUUUUUUUUUUUUUGGAGAUUGUCUCACAUUAAUAAGCUAUAAAAUCACUAGUUCUUUUCACUUAAAAUAAUCUUGUGUAUACAAAACUAAAAAAUGAUUCAAUACCCUUGUUUAAGUGAAUUAUGAACUAUACAUAUAAUCACAACUUUCUGAAAACUCAGCAGAUCAUUGUACAUGCAUUAUACACUCCGGAUCCAUUUUAACAUGAACUCCCAAUCUCCUGUCAUGUGAUUUUCCUUUCUCCCGCAAUGAAACAAUUUUGUUGAUAUAAUUGACUAGAACUUCGACUCAAUUAAAUUGUUUAACCCCCACAACUUUUCCUCUCCAAGUAUAUAUGGACUAAGUACUAACUUCAUGGAUUCCUAUUGGAUUAUCUUAAAAAAUAGAAUAAUAUUGGACGAUAUUGAAUUGGAUGAUAAACUUCGGUCAAUAUAUCCCAUAGAGAUAAUUGCUAUAGAAUUGGAAACCUUUUUUUUUUUAAGGGUGUCGCGCAGGGAAUGGACCCUGCAGACUAUUCCCUACCCUCUACAACUUGCUGGCAGCAAGGUUCGAACUAGGGAUCUAAGGUUCCAUUUUCAGCAACCUCAACCACCAAACCAAGCUCCAGAGAGCUUAUAGAAUUGGAAACCUACCUAAUUUCUUAUUGAAAAAACUAUGAUGGUUUAAAAAAAAACACUUACUAGUACCAACAAAAGCAAGAUCAUAAAUCAGUAGUGCAUUACAUAGAUGUUAUACUCAACAGUAGCUUCACCAGUCUUGAGAUUAAAGGAAUGAGUUCUAGCCUGAGCAUAGCCCCGAGCAAACCGGAGAAGCCCACUUCCCCCGAUCACCGGCAUCUCCCUAACCUUGUGGAACACCGGAUUCCUCCCUAGCAAGGUGAUAGUGCUUCCAUUAUACUUCCCUUCAACAAAAACAAAAUUCAUUAUCAUCAACAGAGCCAACUCCGCUUGUGAAGCUGAUGCAUAGCACCCUUGUGCUCUUGCAACUAGUUUGGAGCUCAGCUCAGAUUCUAUGGUCACUGGAUUAUCGAUCACGUUAACAAAGCCAAACCCAUUACGGAAUUUUGGUAGUGGCUUCACUACUGUGACUGAAGUGGGGUGCAUACCAGUGCCAAUAUCAUGCCAGAAGAAUCUAAAAUGGCUUAGCUUUUCUGCUCUUAGUUCGAGUGCUUCUUUGUUAAUUUCUUUGACAAACUCAUGCUUUUGCUUACAGGUGACAUGAAUAGGCAUGAAGAAAAUGAGGAUGGCAAUGGUGGAGAUGUUGAAGGCUGAGAUAGUACUGGCCAUUGAGAAAUUAUGCACUGGAAACUUAGUUUCUAACUAAUCAGGAAAUGUAGAUGAAGGCAAUAUGUGGAGGGGGCUGUCUAUAUAUCUGGAGAAUUGGUAGAAGCAAUUCUUUAAGCCGCCAUCUGCCUAAAGAAGGCAAGCCGACGCAUGCAAGCGUGGUUUUGCUUUCUUUUUUCAAGGAGGAUCAACAGUAAUUUUUCACUUACCUUUUUGAUGAUUCGAAUCCGUGAUCUGUCAGUUAUAGGUGAAUCAUGGUUUUGUUUUGGAUACUGUGAAGUGAAUAUAUGCUCUCUUUUUUCUCUUUUUUAUUCUGGGAAAGGUGUAAGUGCAUUUAGUUAUGUACAUUAAAGGUAAAUUCUCAAGUAGCUUCUACUGUUAAUUAAAAAUUAGGUGUAUUCUCUCUUUCUUUUUUCCCUGAUUAGGGGUUUUGUCUGGUGUAUGUUAGACCUGUAUGAAGCUAUAUUGUGGUUUGGAGUAUAUUUCACUUUUAUAAUAGAACUACAUAGAGAAGUGAUAUCUCAUUUGAACUUUCAAAAGUAUAGCAUAUUCAUUUGUUUAUUUAUUGGACACUUAAAUGGUAUUUAGAAACUAAAAAUGGUGUGAAUUAUAAUUGGAAUAAUCAACAUUGGGACCAUGCAUCAAGACUCAUCUUUUUAACUUGUACAGAUUAAACAGAUAGUGGUUGAAAAUCCACUUUUUUCUUAACAAAUUUUAUUUCAAUACUUAUUAAGACAGAAUACCAACUUGGAAUUUAUAGAAUGACCUCAAAAGCUAACAUAAAGACAAUUGGUCAUCAUUGUAAAUCAGGUGUGCAUCACAAAUCUCCCAUUUCAAAGCAUCUUGUACACAUGAGGCAACUACAUCAAAAUUCAUCACCGACUAUUCUACUUUCAAUAAGGUAAAUCUUGAGACUCAAGGGAUGAAAACAAUCAAUUGGAGGUGAUAAUACUUGAGGCACCUUUUCAAAUUUUCUUCCUUGGCUGCUGCUUAAACCGUCCACCUACAAGCUAGACAAAUUAAUCAUGACUGAGUGAGUGGGAAGGAUGUGUUAGCAGGAAAAUGGGUUCUGCAUAACAUGAUGGUUAGAUAUCCUUUUUUCCACUUUUCCAGAGGAAAAAUUAUAGUGGGAUAAAUCACAUAUGAGUCAAGGAUUUUGUUAUCAUGUGUAUGAUGCAUCUGAAAGUCACGCUCACUAGCUACUAGUAUAUAAAAUUUAAGCAAGCACUAAAUUCCCCAUGCUUUAGAAUAAAUUAUUAAAAAAGUUAUGCUUUUUUUUUGGGUUGGAAAUAAUUUACUCGACUUGCCUUUGAGUGAAAGUUUUCCCCUUGAAUUGCUAUUUUCUGAAUUUUUUUUAUAAAGAAAUAUAUUUUAGCGAUUUAAUAUUUGUGUGAUAAAAAAAUAAUUGAGAUAUAUGUUCACGAAAAAAAUCAAAAUUUUUUGGAGAAAAAUUACUUUUCCAACAAGGAAAGUAAUCGUGGCACACGACUGCUCAGAGCUUAUUGUGCUAGCUGAAUUUACCAUUUAUGUUAGAAGAUUCAUGGCUCAGGGAUGAAGGUAUGAGGCGCAAUUUCCUGCAUAGUCCUUAUUUUUUUUAAAAGCAAAAGAAAAUGAAAGAAGUGGGAAACAUUUUAUUUUCUAUUCACUAAUUUUUUUCUACUAUAGUUAUAGGAAACAUGUUAAAGGAAAAUUAUAUUUUAAUACUAACAAAGGUAUUCCGAUGUCCUUUAAAAAUAAAUAACAAAAAAGUGGCAAGUGGAAUCCACUCUGUGCCAUCACCUUCAUUUUUUUUACAUUUAGAAAGUCCAUGAAGAAUCUUAUUUGAAAAACUAAGAGGCCAAAGAAAAGCAUUGCUAAAAAGGAAACGCAGACGAAGAGCUUGAAACAUCAAGAAAUUUUUUUUUUUUUUGGUCUCUGAAACAUCCAAGAUUCAAGAGCUGAAAUUGUAGCUUGUAUUAGACAACGAUUUAGCAAUAGCUAGAUCUCUUGUCGGCAAGUACAUUGGCAAUAGUAGGGUAAAUCUUUUAGUAUACCUUAACAGUGUGUACACUAACGAAUCUAGAUACGUCUACAUAUGUAAAAUUUAAAAUUCAACUCCAAAUAUUUGUUGUGUUUGGAUAGCAAAUUAUUUAUAUAAAAUUAUUUGUUUGAAUCAUAAAUACAUUUUUUAAUUACCUUUUUAUUUCAUAUAUAUUACAUCAAAAAGUGUUACAAUAUUUUUAAAAAAAAUUAUCCCAAAUGAUCUCUUAUCCAAACACACUAGACAAAGCAAGUUCCGUCGUGUAUGGACAGCUCCACCAUGUUGCUUUGGCAAUCACCCCUCCUAUUUUUGCCUUUUUGGUAGAGCAGUUCCAGAAAGUUGCUUUUGUGCAGCAAUUUUGCUGCAAAAUAAUCUGCUGUGGCGGGGGAGAAACAAGUUCCACGAAAUCAGAAAACUUACAUUCAAAGCCUCAACAAACUGUCCUGCACUUCACAGAAACAACAAUAGACUCAGUAAUUACAUGGGAUUCAAACUCAUUCAUUACAUGGUGACUGUGUACGUAGUUUAUUUAUGUAUUAGGCUGUGCAAGACUGAAAGUCGUAGUUCAAGUUGGCUAACACAUCUCCUUAUGUCCAAGUUUCUUUUUUACUAAGUUUUGCAGAGUAGUUUAACCGAUUGUAUGCCUAUUUAUAUAUGUGAAUCACUACAAGUUAUAUCAGAGAAGUAUGAGAUCUACUUCGGAAAACUGACAGAUUCAAGCUAGAUUAGAUUUCUAAUUUUGAUAAAAUGGAAUUCGGUAAAAUUGAAAUAUAUUCAAUUUUAAUAUUUGAUCAAAUGGGUUGAAAAUGGAUGUUAAAAAUACAUUACCGAAUUACCUUUUACUGGUUGAAUUAGUAAAUACUAAUAAUUAUUAAAGACUAAUUAGUAAAUAAUAACUAAUAAUUACUUGACUACUAACCGGUGACUAGGCACGUUAAUAAGCAGGGUUUGAGUUGGAUUUCUGAGAUUCAAAUUCAAACUCAUUAAAUUUAGUUAGACCCAAACCCUUAUAGGUCUGAAAAAGUAAACCCAGAUUUGGAUCUUCACAGAUUGGAUAUUCGUGGAUACCUUUUUGAACAUACAGUGAAUAACCAAAGUGAAAUAUUAUGAAAAUAUAUAGAGUCCAAAAAUAACAUAAAUAUCAUCCAAUUUUUAUUUUUAAAUAAUAAAAUUAACAUUGAUGAUGUUGAAUACAAUAUUAUAUUAACUAAAACUAUUUAUUUUUAAAGUUUCAUCUGUAUCUAUUUUCAAUCUUUCAUUUGUUUACUUUUAUUUUUUCUCUUCUUCCUAAAAAUGUUUGUACUAAUUACAAUGACAUAGAAUAUUAGAUUAUUUUAUUAGUUUGUUGACACACACACACAGAGAAAAUAUUACAUGGGUCUAGGUAGGGUCUGAUUUGGAUCUGAAUCAUAAAAAAUCAGACCCUACUCAGACCCAUGACUCUCUUGAGGAUCUGGGGCUGGGUUUAAUAAAUUAAAUCUAAACCCUACCCAAGUGUACUAGAUCUAGAUAAAAGUCAACUCAUUGACAUGCCUAUUAGUGACUACAUAUUACUACUAACAAACUUAUUGAUUAGAGAAAGUGAUAGUUGCAGUCCCAAAUUAGCCUAUUGCACUGUUUGGAGGUAUAAUAUUUAGUGAGUGGAUUGGAGUGCAACAGACUAAAAAGGAUGUGCAAAUAUCAAUUCCCUAAUUUAGUUAGCUAUUGACUAUUGAGUGCCAACUACUAACUAUUCGAUAUUUGAGUAUUAGUUUACUGCAUUACGGAAUUGGUUGGAGUUUGGACACUAGAAAUAGAUUAUUGGCAUUUCGGAUAUUUUCGAAUUAUCGAUUCUCAGGUUGAAAUCCAAUUACUAAUAUCCAAUUUACCAAACUAAAGUUGGGACAGUAAUCAGGUAUUGGUCUUGACAAACCGAUUAUGAAUUUUCAAAACUUUUUUCAAUGAAUUUUUUAUUGCUAGCUGAUGAACACUCGUAGUUCCACUCGAGAGAGAGAGAGAGAGACGAGUAUGUAAUUUAUUUCAGAUCUGGCUUAAGAUAAAACACUUUUUCGGUGUUUUAAUUUAUUCAAAUCUGGUUUGGGAUUAUUUUAUUGAGAUUUUUAUUACUUGGUUAUGUAAUUAGUCUUGCGCGGAAUUGGUCCUAUUAGAAAUUACAGUGGUAAAUUAGUAAAUUAGAGUUAUAUUUUAACUCAUUCGGGUGACCUGCCAACUCGAAAAUUUUGGGUUCAAGUCGAGUAUCCUAACCUAUUGCUAGUCGGCAAGUAGUAUUCGGGUCAGUAGGUUUUCUAUUGUAUCUGGGUCUCAACCCGACCCGUCACUCCGUUACUGACCUGAUUGCUACACCUACUACUCACUCACAUUCUUCUCUAUCUUCUCAAUUAUUUUCAUGAUUUACUAAAUUGGUUUUGGCUUUAAUAAUUUCUUGUAUACUGAUUCUGCAUGCUCUUAUAUUUUUCCAUUUUUGAAAAUUCACUCAAAAGGUUCUUUUUUCAAACGCAAUGUAAUUUAAGUCAAAGUAAAUAAUAGCUUAACAUGCAAAUAAUUUCAAAAAAUAGCCUUACUUUACCCUUCAAUAUUCAUCAUGGGACAUAUAAUGUAAUGUAUUUUAAAUUUACUUUCAUCUAAUUGUUACAGAAUAUGACUAUUUGAUAGAAAUCAACUCUUACAUGAUAAAUAUGAAUACUUGAUAAAAGAAAAAAGUCAAGAUUUACAUGACAAUUAUGAAAGAGAAAAAGAAGAAAAAGUACUAAUAAUAUUAGUUGUUUAGAGGCAUAAUAAACAAGUAGAAUUUAAAGAAAAAAAUUCAAUUUUUAUUAAUUUUUUUAUAGUCUAAGCAGAAAAUUCAUGCUAAAGUGUUGAGUUACAAUGACAUGAUAAUAAUUAUUAUUAUUUUAAGCUAAAAUUUGUUGGAGUUAAAUGAAGUUCUAUUUACAAAAAAAACUAAAUGAAUAAAUAAAAGUUUUAGUAUUGAAUAAAAAAGCAAGAGUGCAUAGAACUAAAAAGAUGCAAGAAAAGAUUACGACAAAAACUACAUCAUUUAAUUAUAAAAUAAUAGAUCUAUUAGUGUGUGAGUGAGAGAGAGAAAUGAGAAUAAUAAAAAGAAGAGUGAGAGAUAGUAACCAAAAAUAUUUAAUUAGAGAGAGAAAAAGCAAUAAUUAAUGCGUAAUGGAUUUUAGGAAAAUCAAUGAACAUAUAUAAAGUUGAUGCACUCUAAUCGGAAGAUAAUUGCUCUGGCAAUAUUGCUUGUCUUUUCAAUUUACUUGUGGUUAUGCUCUGGCUAAAACUUAUACCCUUUACAUUUCACUCAUCACGUAUUAAAGAGAAAAGGGCAAAAAAAAUUCAGUACCUGGAGUUUUGACAUUUAACAAAUUGGCACGUCUCAUUCCGCAUCAAAUCCUUCGUCGCACUUCGGUCGCUACACGGUCCCAACAAUCCAUGUAGGAUCCAUCACAUUGCCAAUAAUAAUCCACAUAAGAAUAGAAUUCUUUCUAUUUUAUAAUUUCUAUAUUAGCUAAAAAAGUAUGUGGCUCGGUUCCUGAUAAUGACGGACCUUUCGAUUGCCAUCUUUCUGCUAUUCAAAUUGUUUCUUGUUCUUUACUCUCAGAGAACUAGAGAAUAAAACCAGGGGAGCAUUUUUUUUUUUUUUCUUAUGAAAAAUCACCUAGCGGCUGAGGAGGGAGAAGGAAUAAGGUUUAAAUUGACGGAAUUCAUUCAAAGUUCUGGUUUAAAGAAUCAAGAUCAUAUGGAACUUAAGCACUAAGUUUCUAACCACUGAGCUACCACCACCAAAGUUGGUGGGUGGGAGGUCAGGGGAUCAAACCCUGCCUCCCACCAUUGGCCACAAAAAUGUGGCAAGCCACUUUGAGUGGCUUCUAGACGAGUGCGUCGUGCACUGGUUUGGGACGGUAGGUGAUUCAGUCCCCUCUAGUUUCUUCCGACUUGUUUAGGUCCUCCCCUCCCCGUAGUAUAAAAAUACAAAAAUUGUAAGUCUAUCGUAUCGAAAAAAAAAAUUAAGCACUAAGUUUCUAGGUAUGUAAAACAGUUUUUCCUCCUUUGCCUUUAGCGCUACACCAAAAUAUCCUAUCUAUCAUGUUAUCACUGUCAUCUUUGUGCUCUUUACUUAAUUUAAUGCCAAAACCAACCUAUUUUGCAUGCCAAAUAAAACUCAUAAGCUAUUUCUUCAGUUUCGAAUUCCAUACCAACUUCUGGUAUUAAUGCCUUAGAAAUAGAUGAGUGUAUUUCGUUCAAAUCUUUGCCCAUGUGCAAAUUUGUAAAAUCAGAAAAGCUAUCUUUUUGUUGUCUAUGUUCAAUUUUCAGAAUUCAAUUAUUCCUCACAAGCAUCUUCAAAAUCUCAACCACGAUAUGGUGAAGUUCCACUUCACAUGAAAUUGUUAGUACUUGGUCAUUAAUAUAUGACCAAAAGUCAAAUUUGUUAGUACUUUCAACGAAGAAAUCAGAAUUAAAUCACUAAUCCUUAAUCCCAGGUAAACCUCAAAAGCCGGUAACUCUUGAGGCUACCCAAGAAACUAAUAAUCUAACCCCGAACCUCCCCAAUGAUCGAUGUGGGAUUUUUGGAAAGGCCAGUAAGGCCACUGCUACUAAAGGUGUACUAACCUCCAUGACACUCAGAAACCUCUCCAUCAGUGGCGGAGCCAGAAAAAAUUUUUAGUGGGGGCAAAAAUAACACUAAAAUUUUUUACCUACUCUUUUUCUAAUUUUUAAAGCAAAAAAAAAAUUCACCAACAAGUACAAAUGAUGCAUAUAUUCCAUGAAAAACAUAAAAAGACAAAUUCAAAAUUAUUAAUAUAAUAAUAAUUUUAUUUAAAAAACAAACUAAACUAUUUACAAUUGCUUACUGCGAGUCUUUAUAUUUUGAUAACUAACUUGAUUGUGGAAGUAAGAAUGGCUCUCGGUUGUGGAGGGAAAAUGGGGGACCAGUGGAGGGAAGGGAAAUUGGGAAGUGGGGACAAAGGAAGUGAAUGAUAUGAUUGGAUGAAUUGAUCAAGAGAAAGAAUAGCUAGCUGCUUGGUUGUGGAAAGCAGUGGCUCUCAGUUGUGGGGGAAAAAUGGAGGACCAGAAGAGGGAAGGGAAAUUGAAGAGUGGGGCCCAAAGAAAGUGAAUGAUAUAAUUGGUACUUGCUAGUUAAAAUGAAAAGAUUUUUUUUUUAUCUUAUUUCAAAUGAAAUUUGUGCCCCACGUAUCUUUUUAGAAUUUAGUUUAUGAACUAACUUAAAAAAUUACUCUCUCCGUCCCACUUUGAUAGUCCUGUUUUCCUUUUUCGUCUGUCCCAAAUUGUAGUCCACUUUCCAAUUGAAGAAUGUAGUUGUAUUUUAAUUUUUCUAAAAUACCCUUAUUCAAUGUAAAUUGUUGUUACUAUAAACCUACUCCAUUUAAUGAGAGUUUAUUCUUUUUUUACCAUCAAUUCAAGUUCCCAUAAAGUUGUACUCUAAUUAAUGUGAGGGUAUUUUAGAAAAAUAGCUACCUAAAUUGAUUGUUCCAACAAAAUUAACUACUUUUUCUUAAACUGUGUGAAAAAAGAAUCAGGACUAUCAAAGUGGGACAGAGGGAGUACGUAAUUUUUUCUCAUCCUUUCUAAGAAAACUCUGGGGGCACAUUUAAAAUUAUAUCAAAAUUGUAUAAGUAUUAUAGGAAUUUAAGGGGAGCAGUGGGGGCCCGUGCCCCCACCUUAAAUCCGCCGUGCUCUCCAUACUUUCUUUUUCUUUCAACGAAGAAAUUAGAAUUAAAUUACUAACCCUUAAUCUCAGGUAAACCUCAAAAGCCGGCAACUCUUGAGAUCACCCAGGAAACUAAUAAUCUAACCCCAAACCCCCCAAUGAUCGAUGUGGGAUUUUUGGAAAGGCCAGUAAGGCCACUGCUACUAAAGGUGUACUAACCCCAUGACACUCAAAAACCUCUCCAUUUGCUAGUACUUGGUCAAAUUUGUUAGUACUUGGUCGCAUGAAAUUAGUACUGAUAUCCUGCAAUAUAAGAACCAAAAGUCAAAAAUUUGAUUAAUAUAUGAUAUGAUGCUGGUUUUUGCACAGCAUACUUGGUCAUUAAGGUAGUAAAGGAGAAACCAACAUUGAAAAAACGUUUUACUGGAUCAUGCCCAAUAUCUCUGGAUCAUGUGCUAUAGCUACUGUUGCCGUGGAACUACCAGGAAAUUAAUAUAAGAAAGUUAUAUUGGGCUGCAACAAGUAGUACUAGAUUCAACUAACAUGAAUACACAAUGAUAAAUGUUUCGUCCAUAAUAAAUUAAUAAAUAUGAGAUAUAACACGUUUCCAUUUAAUAUUAAAAAUGAUUUAAUUCUUAUUGAAAAGACUAGGUAAAAAGAUUGCUUUUAUUGUUGCUAUAGGAACUACCAGAAAAUUAAUAUAAAAUAAAUUCUAUUGGGCUACAACAAGCACUAUUACAAUUAUGAGAUUCAUAUUUCCAUGAAUACAGAAUGAAUAAAUAUUUCACCCAUAAUAAAUAAUUUGCAAAAAUUUCAUCCACGCAAGAUAAAAAUUCUUUAAUAAAAUAAUAAAUAUGAAUUAUGAAUUAAUUCCAUUUAACAUUAAAAAAUGAUUCAAUUCUUAUUGAAAAGACUAGUUAAAAGAUUGCUUUUACCUCUAAGACAAAAGCUCUUCCAGUUGUUUUGAUAAACAAAAUAUGCUGGUUCCAAGUCCAAUUUUUUUUUUUUUUUUUUUUUGUGAUAUACAACGUUCCUUGCGGUCUUGUGUAUCAUUUGUUCUUCUUUUUUGUGAUAAUGAUGAACUUCUAACUGUGUGCCUGUUUGAAAGUGCUGUAAAUUUGAAUUACAAGAUGCUAAUUAUGCGGGGUUCGAAUUUUCUCUAUUGGUCUCUCUAUUAUUUAAAUCUAAAUUAUUAUAAUUUUAUAAAUGGAUAAUAUCAAAAACAGGUUUCUGACACUUUUAUCUAACACUCCUCUAAUUUCAAACAUUAUACUCAUUGAACAAUUUGAUUUUUCCAAAAAAAGAAUUCUUUAAGGGCAAUUUAGGAUAUUAGUGUGGUUUUUUCUGCACACAUCAGCCAAAUGGAAUCCAAAUCUAUUAUAUAGGAGAGAUAUGUGUAAUUUUUGGAACGUAGAGGGAGUUAGUUGUGAUUUUACAAAUCUCAAGGGAGAUUUCUGAAAUUAUCCCUUUUAUAAAUCAUUGAAUUGUGGGAGGGAAGGAGGGAGAGGGGGAGGAGAGACAGACAAAAAAAAGGGGAGGGUGGUAGCGAUGUCGGUUGAUGGCACCUCCGGUGAUGAUGGGUUGAGGUGGGGAGUAAGAAGAAGGAAAAAAUUGUAUAUUUUUUUGGUAUUUUGGGGUGUGUAUUUUAAAAAUUUUGAGAUGUUCUUAGAAGGGUUUUUACGGACAAAAUUACAAGGAAACUUGUCUAUUAAAAACAGGGCCAAAAAACAAAUUCAAUAUUAAAACUGUCACAUAGAGCCUAGGAUUUGAAAUAAUGCAAAUUCAAUUUUGGUUGUUAAAAAAAAAAAACACAUUAAUCCUUCAAGAUUAAACAAAUGGGAUUCUGUGCAAUAGUACCCAAAGUGGACGAAUACUUGUACCAAUCUGUGGUCUUAUAUUAUCAAAGAACUGAAGAACAAAUAUAACAGAUCACGAUUAAUUAUUUUUCCUUUUAGGUUGGUGUUAAACAUCAUUAUAGUGAGUUGAAUAGAGGUUGUACUCCACCAUUGCAUCAGCAGUGCUUUUGAUUAAACGACUAAGUUUUAGCCUUACAAUAACCGGAAAACCGACUUCCUCCGAUCGGCAGCAUCUCCCUGGCCUCAUUGAAAGUCGGAUUCCACCCAAGCACGGUGAUAGCUCUUCCAUUAUACUUGCCUGCAAGAAAAUCAAACUUCAUGGUCAUCAGGUGAGCUAACUCGUCAUGUGAAGUUGAUGCAUAAAACCCUAGUGCUCUUCCAACCAUCUUGGAACUCAGCUCUAGCCCAUGCCUCAAUGGAUUAUCAAUCAUUAGGAAGCUUAGCUGGUUCUAGUUUUUUUUUUUUUUUGGUGGGGGGUGGGGGGUGGGGGGAGGAGAAGAGGGGCGCUUAACUGGUGAUUUCACUACUCUAGUUGAAGGGUUGGACCGCUCUACUUGUCAUGCCACAAAAACCUAAAAUGACUUGGCUUUUCCUCUCUCAAUCUCAAUGCCUUGUGAUUAAUGGCUUUAACAAACUCGUAUUGACUAUCUUUCCCCUGAGUGAAAAAAAAAUGAUGAGUAGAAAACACAUGGUGGAGAUAAUGGGGAAAUUGUAGGACGCUGAAAUUCUUGCCAUUGUUUUAAUGGCAAAGCGGGUGAGUUGUUGAAAAUUGGUUGUUCGGUUAUAAAUAUGUAUAUUUUUGUUACAUGUUAGUGCAUAUACUAACAUAUUUGAAUGUAUGAAAAUUACUUUCAGUUAUGUCGAAUUUUAAUUUUUGCAUAUAUGACAUCCAUCCAUUGUUGUUAGGGCAGCCACAACGCCCGUGUAAUGGGGAGCCAUUACACCGCUCCCACUACAAGAAAAAAGGUCAUUAGUGACAACAUUUCUUUGUGACGACAAAAAGUCGUCACAAAAUUAGGUUGUUUAGUCACGACUUUGAAGGUUGUCACAAUUGACUCAAAGCAACUAAGUUUUCAGUGACAACUUUUAAUUGUCGUCACAAAACUACUUCGCGCCAUGGGAUUUAGAAGGCGCGAGUUUUGCGAUAGUGACGACUUGAUAAAAGUUGUCAGUAAUUCUACCACUUUCUUUGACAACUUUUCGUUGUUGUCACUGUUUAUGUUUAUUGACGACCAAUUUUUGUCAAUAAAACUAUAGUGUAGUUAGUGACAACAACAAUUGGUCAUCAGUGACAACUUUUAUUUUUGACGAAAAAAAGUUGUCACAAAAGUCUAUCCUUUAUUGACGACUUUCUAUCUCGUCACAAACCUUUAAUGGGAGGCAACUCAUUUGUGACGACUUAGAAAAGUCGUCACUAGUAAAUUCCCGUCAAGAUUUAGCAAGAAGGCGGGAGUGUUUAGAACAUACAAUAGUGACGACAUUAAGAACAUCAUCACUAUUGAAUGGCUUAUUUACGGACGACUUUUUGUUGUCGUUACUGAUCACUAAAAAAGUUAUUAGUGACAACAUUUUUUAGUGAUGACAAUAUUUCGUCACAAAAGGGGAUUCUUUAGUCGCGACACCUAAAGUUGUCACAAUUCCAUCAAAGCAACUAAAUGUUUAUUGACGACAAGUAGAGUUGUCAUAAUUGCUCAAAUAGACAGUGUCUUCAGUGACGACCUUGGAAAAUGUUGUCACUAAAAUGAUUUAUUGAGUGACAACUUCUAAUAUCGUCACUGUCACUCUCUUGAUUCAGAUUUAGUGACAAGAAUUCAUCGUCACUAUUUAAAGUACUUAUUUGUAAGUCACUUUCAUUAAUUCUACUGUGCCACCCUAACUUUUGCGAUUUAGCCCCAAAUGUUAUAAAAAAUUCCAUUAAUUCCAUUAUGAUACCUUAAGUUUUACAAUUUAGCCCCAUAUAUAGUACACCGAUUUUUUUAAUUCUAUUAUUACUCCCUAACUUUUGUAAUUUAGCACCAUAUGUAAUUUACCAAUUUCAUUAAUUCUACUUUGGCACUCUAACUUUUGCAAUUUAACCCCCAUAUGUAAUACACCAAUUUUAUUAUUUCUAUUAUGGCACCCUAACUUUUACAAUUUAGCCCCUAUUUUUUUAUUAGGAAAUUGCGAAUGGUAUCUUGAUAAACUAUGCAUAAAUAUUUUAUAAUUUUCUCAAACUUAAGUAAUAAUUUGUUAUAAACUCUAAAGAUAUAUCUUUCAUUACAAUAGUUAUAAGGCAGACAGGUAUUUUUAUCAAUGGAAUAAGAAAUUUAUGUCAGAUUUAUCCUUUGUACUACAUGCCAAGUAGUAUUAGCAAAAGAAUAACAAAGUACUACAAAGUAAUUAACAAGAUAGCCUUCAGGGAGUGUAGUUUAUGGGCAAAUGAGCAUUAUCUAUUCAAAGUACCAACUUUUUAUGGGCAUUUUACUCUCAAACAUAUAAUUUAUGAUAAAUUUAUAAAGGGAUAAUUUCAGAAACCUCCCCUGAGGUUUCUGACAAUUUCACUGACCUCCCCUGAGGUUUCCACAAUUACACUGACCUCCCCUGGCAGAACUUGGGACCCAAUUGCUGACAUCAUAUAAUGCAAAAUUACUAUUAUACCCAAGACAUUUUGUGUUAUUAUAGGACUAAAAUAUGAUAAGGCAGAUGGUGUUUUGGAUAGUAUUGGAUUGCAUUUCUAUUUAUUUAAUGUAUGGUUAUGAAAUUUGUAAUGAUAUUACUCUUGGAUUGCAGUUUUGGUUUGCACCUUAUUACUGUUAAGGUUUUAUAAAUGACUGUUUUAGUUCUUGGAUUACACCUUACCUCCAAAUUUUGGGAAUUUACCCAAAUUUUCCAUUUUCUAAUAUUCCUACAAAUAUGCAAAAUUAUGCAUAUCCCUCAAAUCUACCCAAUAUUAAUGUUUUGUUAAACUCUAAAUAACAAAAAUAUGAAAUAUAAUAUUUAAAUAUAUUUUAAUACACACAAGUUGGACGGGUAACUAGUGUGUCAGAGAGUUGCCAUAAUCUCCUUAAACCCGCAUGCGGGUUUAAAGAGUAUUCGGAUAUUCUCAUAUGCACCUAUGCAAAUCGAACCAACCGGAUAUCUUAUCCGUAUCCCAUUUUUUUAAAUAAAAAUCUUAUAAAUUUGAAAAAUAAAAUCAAAUUUAGAUGUAUUAGGGUUUUAAAAAUAUUAUAUAAGUGAUAAAAAUUUUAUAAAUUGUAAAAAUAAAAUCAAAUUUAAAUAAUUAAAUGUUAUAUUUGCCUAAGAAAUAAUACAAUAAUCAUAAUAAUGAUAAUACAAUAAUAUUGGUGUAAUAAAACUGCCAUUAAUUUAAAUAUUUAUUUAUAAUGCCCAAAGAGCCUAAUUACCAAUUUUUUUCUUCUCUUUGUGGGUUUCCUUUACAUGAACAAAUAUUUUGCUCUUUAUAGGUAUUUCACUCUGAAUCAUGUAAUUUAUGUUAAAUACAUAAAUGUUUGUAAGUAAAAUUCAAAAAGUGUUGCACUAAUAUUUUUAUGAAAGGGAAACUGGUAGGUUUUGUAUUUAACAUUAAUUAAAUAUGUGAAAGCAAAAAAAAAAAGAAAUUAUAGGGUACAGCAAUUUAAUUAAAAAAAAGAAAUAUUAAAAACUAGCAAUUUAAUUAGUGACGACUUUUCUUGUCAUUAUAAUCUUGAAUAAAUUAGUGAUAACAUUAUGUCAUCACUAAAUUUUCUUUGAUUUUGACUUAACAAUAAUGUCUUAUUAAUAGCAUUUGAUUAUUUUUAAUGAAAGUCUAUUAUAACCAUAGAAUUUGACUUUCGGUAUUUUCAAUUAAUGAUGUACUUUAGAGCUGGAAUUAUAAAAAAUUGCAGGGCUAAAAUAUUUGCAAAUUAUAAAAGUAUAUUUUCACUUAUAUGUAAUUAACAAAUUUUGCCACCUAUAUUGAUGAAAAUUUGUGUUUUUGUACUAAAAAAUAAAGAAUAAUACUAUAGCAAUAAAAUCUAUGCUUCAAACCAAAUUAAAAAUAAAAAAAACAUGAUGAUUGGUCUCAAAUGUUGGGAAAAUGAUUAUUUUUAUUGAAACUAUGUUAUAACCAUAUAAUUUGAGUUUAAUUAUUUUCAAUUACAAGAUGUUCUUUAGUGCUGCAAUUAUAAGAAAUUAGUAUAAAAUAUUAGCAAAUUAUAAAAGUACAUUUUCAAUUAUAUGAAAUUAACAAUUUUUGCCACCUAUGUUGAUGAAAAUUUUUAUUUUUUGCUAAAAAAUAAAGAAUAAUACUAUAGCAUUAAAAUCUAUGGUUCAAACCAUAUUACAAAUCUAGAAAAAAACAUGAUUUUUGGUAUCAAAUGGAGGGAAAAUGAGUGAAGUCAAAAUUUUGAUCAAAUCAUUAGUGAAAGUGCCGCGCAACAAAAACAAUAUCCAAAGCAAGACCAAAGCAAUAUCCAAAGCAACGGAACACUUGAGACAAACCUUCACCGAGCUGAAGUAAACAAAAGCUUCUGCACUAAGCACCAAAACAGAGCUUCCGCACUGAGCACAAAACAGAGCUUCCGCACGGCCUGAUACUUUCACCCACACUUCUUUGGCUUCUCACUAGCAUCACCAUGGCUGUCCAGCAUUAAAGUACAAGGUUUUCAGGUGGAAAGGUUCGUUUUCUCUCUCCUAUACAUUUUCCCCAAUUUUUCCAAAUCCCUAAUAUGUAAGAUCCUUUUUGUUAUCGCUACUGAGUCGCCUGGAUUAAGCUGUGUAGCUACUUGUUUUAGCUUCAAUAUUUCGGGUUAUCUGACCACAGGUUAGGGUAGUUUAGGAUGGUCCGAGGAGCCAGUGCUCCUUAUUUUCUGGAAUGCAUUAAAGAGGGAGGAGACAGAAUUGUUGAAAAUUGGAAUGGAAGCCUAUGUUGGGCAUUCCGAGAGAAGGGAUCGAGUUUUGUUUAAAUAACUGGCCAAUUAGGUGAGUAGUUCAAGGUUAUUUCAUUGACAGCGCAAUUAAUCUUGGGUAUAUAUCCCCUUAUCCGAUAAGGUUGCCAUGAAAGGGGACAGAAAUUGAGGGAAUGGACGAAGGAAUCAUUUAUGUCCACUGCCCAGUUCUUGUGAAUUAGCAGCAACCAAGACUCUAGUCUCAGUGGGUCUAUUUUGUCUAAUAUUUUCAGUUGCAUUGCAAUAAAUUCUGGUAUUGUUUUUUUAAAAAGAAAAUUCUGGUUUAAUGCCCUACUCGGUGCUUUAACCUUACCUCAACUGAGAUAAAAUGCCAUGCCCAAAACCCCUAAAGAUGGCUUUCAGGUGUUCUACUAUUUUUUAAUUCCCCUAAAGAUGGCUAUCAGAUGUUUUAUCAUUUUGUCUUAUUAGUAAUUUCUAGUCUUAUGAAUCAGGUUCAUCCCUGCAUCUUUGUGUCAAACCUCUUUUAUAUGGCUCUGCCCUUUUUUGAAUUGUUCUCCAUUUAACUCUUUGGAAAUCACUUUCUAACUCACUGCCAGAACUAUAACUCUUUGGAAAUCACUUUCUAACUCACUGCCAGAACUAGUUCUUUGGCAACUCCGUUACCUCAGAAUAUCCAGUUCCAUUUCAAAGUAAGGGCCAGCCCUUGCCUUUUUAAAACCCUAUUAGCUACAUAACUGCCUUUACGCCUCAGGUCCAGAUGAAUCUGAGGACAGACAUCUACCUAAGUUAGUCAUCUCUAAUGAAAGUUUUCCAUGCUUUGAUGCUUGGUUAACCGCAAACCUUCUUAGACAAGUAUUGGUUUAGCCAUGAAUUGUUUCUUGGAAAAUUUUUGAUCAAAUACUAAAAGUUAGAAUUGUUUUUGGAGCAUUUUACUGGACAUGUUCGUGGAAGUUAAAUAACCAGUGGACAACCAGAAUGAGGCCAAAUAUGCACCUUACAUUGCACGAGCAUAAAUUUAACUUUGAUAAAACAUUGUUAUGAUGAGUGUUGCUGAAUACCUAAGACACAAUAAUUUUCUGUUGCUCCUAAGAUGCUUUUGCCUUAAGACCUGAGCCAUUGUUUGAGUCCCUAGGCCGAAGGAGCUGUCUGAUUCAGGUGUUUCAAGCUAUGUAAGCCACUGCAGUUAGUAUCAGGAAUCAUAUUGCAAUGCUUAAAAAUGAAACUCUCUGUGGAAUAGUUGAUAUAAUAUAGUCUUUAACAUUUGUUAGUAGUAAAUUGAUGUGAACUAAUGGCAAAAAUAAUGUAACUUCCAUUAUAGAAGGGCACGGAGAGUUUUUGCAGAAAUGCUACUUAAUUUCAGGUUUUUUGUUUCAAGCAUAUCUGCUUGGGACUGGUUUCUUAUUGCUGCUAGAUGAGAUUUCUAAGUUUUCCCUUAAUCUGCAUUUUGACAGUUCUUGCGAGCUUCAGGAUUACCUUAAGUUUACUUCCCUUUCUUGAUUGUAUUGGCUGCCUCGCAGAAGAAAAGAGAAAGGGUACAAUGGGUGGGAUAGAUUUUCUAAGGCACCAAAUAUAAUAGGGAAGAGUUCAGUCAUUACUGCCAUUAACAAAAUCACAUACUAAGGCUCUUCCAAUGAAAAUUCACAACAGUCAUGGCCAUUAUAAUUUAUUUUUGAGUUGAUAAUAUACUUCUAGAUUAUAUAGUAGUGAAUAUACUUCCAGAUUAUAUAGUAGUGAAUAUACUUCUCUCAUGCGCACAUAAUGUGUGGACCUAAUUUCUUCCCUUGUACUUAUAUUUUUUGGCUGUUGGCUGAUGGAUGAUGGCUAGUCAAAUAGUAACAUUUGACAAAGCUAGACUAUAACAGGUUGCUUAUAGUUUCUAAAAGGAGAGAAAUGGUGGUUAUGUUUCUUCUUACUCAUUUGAAGAAUUGAAAACCUGAAUCUGGUUAUGAGAGCAGGUGGAUGAUAAUGUUCAAUUUGGUGAACAAAUUGUUCCUUCAACUUUUGUAACUUUAUGAUAGUUAUUCUGCUUUAAAAUAGUGAUUCUAUGAUACUUAUGUUUCUUAAGUGUACAAACAUGUAAUGACUGCUAAAACAUCUUGUUGGUCGUUUAGAUCCUCAGUUAUCUGUAUGAGGUUUCAUGGGUUGAGUUGUUCAUUCAUUUUCAUUGCUGAAUUAUGGUACCAUUCGACUUCAUUACCAGCUACUAGUUCCUUAUUUCCUGCCAGUUGUCAGUGCAUGAAUCAAUGUUAAUGAGUUUUUUUUUUCUGUUACUUUCUUUUCUGGGCCAGUAGAUUACAGGCGAUACUUCCCAUUAUGAUGCUGUAGCAAAUUCAGCUGCAUCUGGAGUACAGUCUGCAGGCCUUAAUUCUGGUUAGUCGAUGUUAAUGCAGGCAAGCACAAUAAGAAAUGAUGAAAUACUAUUUGCAUAUUUAACCGAAGGGUUAAAUUAACACCCUAUAUCUGAAAUCUGCACUUUUGAUGGCUUAAUAAGUAGCAUAGUUAUAUUGAUUAUGUACAGCACUUUUGUCUGUUAUGAUUUACUAUAUAUAUCACAAGCUCGUUUUACUUGUAAAGAUGGUGAAUGUCAUUAUGAUCAUGGAUAAAAGAACAAAAAAAUCCUAAAAAAAAAAGAGGAAAGAAUCCAAAAUGUCGUACAAGAAUUAGACUUGCCUGUUUAGAGAAAGCAACCCUCAGUCAAUACUCGUUUUGAGGGAGGGCAAGCUCAGCCACUUUGAAUCCUUAAUACUAUUAAAGUCUGGCUGCCUUCUAGGCUCUUUUUUUUUCUUUUUUGAGCAAUAGUCUGCCUUGUAGAUUAAUUUGCUACAAUUCCAAAGCAUUCUUGUGCUACAUAUACCAUCAAUCACACAAAUCUAUAUGUAUAUACAGAUUGACAUAGCAUAUGUUCAGCAGUUUAAUCAACCAUAAAAAACAAUGUUAAUUUGAUCCUAAGAUUCCAGUGGCUCUACAGCAUGUUAAGAGCAGAACAGGAGUUAAUAACAAGCUAAAAUUCCAAGUCUUUGUUACAUUGAGGGUUUUCUUUUCAUGAACUUUAGUAUUAUAGGGUACAAGUCCCAUUUCAGUUUUAUGGAAUUUAGUAUGCAGUAGCACCCAAACUAACCUUAAUUUUCAAAAACCGAAAAAAAAAGAAGAAGAAAGAUACAGAACUGGGUAAUCUUGGCUUGUAGUGGUGUUGUGACAUGAAAUAUAGGAGCCAAUUUUACAGAUUCGGGUUUGAAGACAUGACACCAUUUAUGUUGGGCGCUAGCUAGCUAAUGGAGUGGAGAUACUUUGACAAUAUUCUAUGCUCCUCUUAAGCUAGAGUACAUUAUUUAGUGUACAAUGAAGCAAAAUUUGAGGACUGGUUUUCUAUUGCACAACUUCAAACAUGUCUGUUAUGGCUUUAUCUUUUGUUUGCCAAACUUUUGCAUGUAUACUGUGGCUGCAGAUUCUAUUUAGUUUGUUGCCUUACUAAUGCAUUUGUACUUGAGAUGGUUGAUUUUUGCUAAAAAUGUGUUUUACACCUUGGAUCCCAUUGCUGGUAUUUGAGGAGUUUAAAUUUAGUUCAUAUUACAUUGCAUUUGUUUUCUAUAUAAUGUGGCGGUCAUAUUCUUUAUGGUAGGAUAAAGGGCUGCAACAAUAUGGACAGGAGUUGGAUGUCUAUUAAGAACUACCUAGACCCCAAGUAUUUAGAUGGAGUUGAUGAAUUUAUUAAGUUUGCUUUUCUAGGCAAGGAUCCUAAUUGUAAACUGCCAUGUCCUUGCAAAGUAUGCAAUAAUUUUGAGGAUCAAACUAAGGAAGUCAUGGCCAAUCACUUGUGUCGAGGAAUUGUUGAUAGUUAUACUAGGUGGAUAUAUCAUGGCGAAGGGUUUGAAUCUGAUGAUGAGGAUGAUGACAUAGAAAUAAAUGACAACGAUAGUGACUUUGACAGUAUGGAGGAGCUGUUAAAUGAUGUAGGAGUUGCUAACUUUGGUGAGAGUUGGAGACAUUCACCGGAACUUGAUACGGGUGCUUGUACCGAGAAAGAAGGAGAAGCAAGUAGGUUUCUCAGAUUAUUAUCGGAGGCUGAAAAAUCUCUAUACCCAGGCUGUGAAAAGUAUUCAAAACUCUCGUUUAUUGUCCAUAUCCUCCACUUGAAAACAAUGAAUCGGUGGACUUGUAAAUCUACUGAUAUGUUGCUGAAGUUCUUGCAUCAAGUAUUUCCUACAGCUUUGAUUCCCAGUUCAUAUUACGAGGCAAAUAAUUUCAUCCGUGAGUUGGGGCUGAAGUGUGAAAAGAUCCACGCCUGUGAAAAUGAUUGCGCACUCUUUUGGAAUGAAAAUAAAGGCCUUGAUCAUUGUCCAAAUGAAAAAUGUAAAGCACCGCGGUAUAAAUCUCCAAAUUCCAAAAUACCUAGAAAGGUGUUGCGUUAUUUUCCAUUAAAACCAAGGCUGCAAAGACUGUUUGUGAACAAAGAGAUUGCUCGGGAUAUGAGGUGGCAUAAGGAGAGACGUGUAGAUAAUGAGAACAUGAUGCGACACCCUGCUGAUUCAUUAGCUUGGAAGGAUUUUGAUAGAAAUCACAAGUCCUUCGCUGAAGAUCCUAGAAAUGUGAGGCUAGGACUUGCUAGUGAUGGCUUUAAUCCCUUUGGAACCAUGAGCAAUUCAUACAGUAUAUGGCCUGUUAUCCUUGUUCCUUACAAUCUACCUCCUUGGAAAUGCUUAAAAGAUCCAUUUUUUUUCCUAUCAAUGAUUAUUCCUGGUCCCAAAGCACCUGGAAAUGACAUUGACAUAUUCUUUAGACCACUAGUUGAUGAGUUAAAAGAGUUAUUUGCCACUGGUGUGGAGACAUAUGAUGCCUUCAGGGAGGAGAAUUUCAUGUUACGUGCAGCACUUUUGUGGACAAUAAACGAUUUUCCAGCAUAUGGCUAUUUGUCGGGAUGGAGUACAAAAGGGUACAAGGCAUGUCCUGUGUGCUUAGAUGAGACGACUAGUCUAUAUCUUAAUAAUGGUCACAAAUGUUGUUACAUGGGCCAUCGCCGUUUUCUACCUAUUGAUCAUAAAUGGCGUCGAGAAAAAAAGCAAUUUAAUGGAGAAAGAGAACAUAGACAGCCUCCUAGGACCCAAUCAGGUGAGGAAGUCCUCCAACAACUUCUUCGUAUUGAGCAAGUUGAGUUUGGCAAGGCACCUGAUUUGCUGCAACAGAAGAAAAGAAAACGCGUGCAGAACAGUUCAAAUUGGAAGAAGAUGAGCAUAUUCUUUGAACUUCCAUAUUGGAGUACCAAUAAAAUUAGACAUAAUUUGGAUAUUAUGCACAUUGUCAAGAAUGUAUGUGAAUCUUUGGUAGGUACAUUAAUGAAUAUCCCUUCGAGAACUAAGGACACAUGGCAGGCUAGGGAAGAUUUAAAAGAAAUGGGAUUAAGGGAAGAGUUGCAUCUACAACCGGGAGGUGGCGCAUCUAAAGUUAUGCCACCUGCAUGUUACACUUUAUCACGCCUAGAGAAAAAGAAUUUCUGCCAGUUUUUGAGCACUAUCAAGUUCCCGGAUGGCUUUGCUUCAAACAUUCCUCGGUGUGUGAAGACCAAGGAGUGUCAACUUUUAGGAAUGAAGAGUCAUGACUACUAUGUGUUCAUACAACGACUUCUUCCACUAGCAACUAGAGGAAUGCUGUCAAAAGAUGUAUCUCAGAUUUUAGUAGAGAUCAGCAAUUUUUUUCGAAAAAUUUGUUCUCGAACUCUCUAUCUAGAUGAGCUGGAAAUGCAGGAAAAAAAUAUUAUUUUAAUACUAUGCAAACUUGAGAAAAUUUUUCCUCCAAAUUUCUUUGAUGUAAUGGUCCAUUUAAUGGUCCAUUUACCCACUGAAUCCAAGAUUGCUGGUCCAGCCCAAUACCGGUGGAUGUUUCCAUUUGAGAGGUACAUGCCUCUUAUUUUUUAAUAAUGCCUAUUUGAUUUACCUCCAAUUUUCUUAUUUUCUAACAACUCGGGCUGAAUUUUUUUUGGAUAGAAAAAUGGGUCAAUACAAAGGCUAUGUGAAUAAUAGGGCACGACCUGAAGGCUGUAUAGCUGAGCGCUACUUGGAUGAUGAAUGUCUUACAUUCAUUUCCAGGUAUUUGCAUGAUGUUCCGACCAGGUUUAAUCAAACGGAACGAAAUAUGGAGAAACACGAAGCUGCUGGAAAAUUAUCUAUAUUUUCUAGCUUGGCUCGGCCCUUUGGGGCAGCACUGAUUGGUUAUCUAAGUGAGGUUGAAUUGCAAAGAAUACACCUGUUCAUCUUGAAAAAUUGUGAAGAAGUAGAUGAUUACAUGAGGUAAUAAUAUACUUUAAUGCUAAAUCUAUGUCGUGUUCUAUAAUAUGUUCUUCAUUGCUUGUAAUUAAAGUCAUUUGAUAGAAUAUGUAACUACUUCUACUACUACAAAUUUAGGGAGCAUAGACAAAUUCUUGAAAAGCAAAAUUUAUCGAGCGUACAGCAAAGGCUAGACUCGGAGUUUCCAAAGUGGUUUGAAGAACGUGUAAGUAUUGGAAGAGAUGUUAAAAACUUGUCAAUUUCCUUUACUUUUUAUUUUAGUAAACUAUUAAAGAAUCUGGUAUGGCUGAUGUAGGUCAUGUAUACACAUGCACGUGGAGAAUGUACUGAUGAAUUGUUGUCCUUGGCUAGAGGACCUGAUUUUCGAGUCAAUACAUUUGCUGGCUGUAAUGUGAAUGGAUUUAGAUUCCACAUUAAGGCUCGGGAAAGAGAAAGAAAGACACAAAAUAGUGGAGUUAUGGUAAAGGGGGAGCAUGCUGAUAAAGAAACAUACUUCUAUGGUAUAAUUACUGAUAUAGUUGAGGUUGAAUACUCAUUUACUCAAAAUCGAGUAGUUGUGUUUAAAUGUGAUUGGUGGGACUUGAGAAAUAAUUCGGGAAUCAAAGUAGACAAGCAGAGCAAUAUCACUAGCAUCAACAUGUCAAAAACAUGGUACUCAGACCAGCCUUUUAUAUUAGCAUCCCAAGCUGAACAAGUUUUCUAUCUUCAAGAUAUGAAGCUUGGAGGUAAUUGGCAUGUUGUAGAGUUAGUUAGUCCACGCUCAUCUUAUGAUGUUCCUGAGAAGCAUGAAGAUGAUUUGGUUGAUAACGAAGAGGCUUACCAAGAAGAGUAUCAUGAAGAUUUGAUUGGUGUACAAGAAAAUCUUGAGUUGGUCAGUUUGAAGAGAGGAGAUGUGCAAACUGAAGAAAGGAUAGAGGCUGGUGCUAUGUUUUUUAUAGAAUUGUCAGCUAGCCGUGCAAGGCAAUUGGAUGACAAUUUUAUUGAUAAUGAUGAGGAAAUUGAGCAACAAUUCAAUUCUGAGGAUGAAAAUGAACAAUUUGUACAAAUCGAUGACUAUGAAUCAGAUUAAACAAUGUUGUUCAUUGAAUUUCUUAAUCAAAUUUUUUCUUGUAUUUUUUCUGUAGUUUAUGAUAUGUUGUCAUGGCUGCUUGUGUUGUUUACGAUUUUGGUGGUGCUUGCGUUAUAUGAUUAUGUAGAUAGAUGGCUGGACCGGGGAAAAAGGGAAAAUUUACUUUACGACAAAGUCGGGAUGCUGGGCGAGGAAUUGUGGAGCAAACUGAAGAAAAUGUAAGCUGUCAGGUAAAGAAACAAGAGUCAUUUCCAGAUAUUUUCUUUUUUCCUAAACUAGCAAUUAUCAUCCUAAACUAGUUACUAUUGAUAAGCGCAUUCUUAUGUUAUUGUAGCAAGCUAGUGAACCAAAAAAUAGUGCAAUUCCCAAGACAAGCAAUGUCACUGAACCUGUAUUAACAAAAAAGUCUUCUAGGAUCCGUCUAUUUGAUGAAUCUGAGGUUAGUUAUUAUUUUUUUCAAUCUGCCAUUUAGAUAAACUGGUUUAUGACAAAGCAAUUGAUUCAACUUUUACAUGUCGCUGUAUAAUGGUGGCUUAAAUUGCUGGAUUAUAGAUUCCUAGUGCAUCCUCUGCUAGAGAAAAUGCUACAAGAAAUUCAGGUAUACAAGCUGAGAGUAGACAGAUUGCUGAAAAAUCUUCAGGCAAUGGAAUGACAUCACAAGAAGCUGCUAGGAUGCAAACUGAUGGAACUCCUACUUCACAGCAUGUUGGAUCUAAUCAAGCUAUUGGUUGUGAAAGCAAUGAAACUGAAAGUAUGCAAGACCUUGAGUCAAACGGUUCAGGUAUGUCAGUUUUACGUGUAAUUCUACUCUAAUUAACUAAUUACUGCCAUGGCUGCUAUUGUUAGCACUUAUGGUCUUGUUUACUUUGUAUCUACUAGACCAAGUGACGUUAAAAAGAAAAAGAGGAUAUACGCGUAAUAUUGCACUAUCAAAUGAAAAGAAAGCUGGAAAAAAGGUGAACAUUACUGUUUCUGAAAUAAGUGGAAGACUAGUUGGAGAAGGUGCUCAGCGAUACAUUUCAGAGGCAAGCUGCGUUAUUCGAAAGUAUGGCAAGUGGAAAGCACCUAAAUGGGGCAAGCUUCCUAAAGAUGAUAGAGAUCAACUGCUAAGAAUUACUAAUGUAAGAAUCUGCUAUCAUAGUAUUUUUUGGUUUUCUAGACGCAAUUUAAAUUAGUCCAUUAAUUUUUUCUGAUUUUGAUAUGUCCUUCUAUUUUUAAUUCAGAAUAGUUUCACUUAUGAUGGAGGAGAGCAUGUGAAACCAGCUUUAAUUAAGCAAUUAAAUUCACAGUAUAGAAGUCGACGUUAUAAUUUUCACAUGCUAUUCAAAAAAUGUGGCUCUAAGGAGGAAGCUCUUGCACGUCGACCAGAAUAUGUGGAAGAAUCAGAUUGGAUUUACCUUUGCGAUUACUAUUGUAGUCCAGAAUUCAAGGUAUGUGUAGCACAUACUUGUUAAUUUGCUAUAUACUUUGCCAAUGUCUCUUUUUUAUCUAGAUCUGAGAUAGAAUUGACAAUUGUAGGCCUUAAGUGAGCGAAAUAAGCUGAACAGAUCAAAGCAGCAAACUGCCCAUACAGCUGGAACAAAAUCAUUUUUACGUCAUAAGGAUGACCGGGUCAGUAAACGUGUAAAGUAGUUCAUUUAUGAUGUGUGGUUGGGUUAUUUAACCUGUUUUGCUAAUAGGAAGCUAAGGAGGGAAGGACAGUUGAACCAAUUGAACUUUAUGACAUGACACAUUUUUGUCGAAAGAAGAAUGCUAUGGUUGAUGAGACAUCAGCUGAAAAACUGGUAAGAAAAAUAUCACUUUCAACUUAAUACCAAUGCUUCAUGUCUCUUAUGCAUAUAUCAAUAAUAGCAAACCUGUGAUUGUAGAGCAAAAUGAAGGACUUACAGCUAGAAGCUCAAUCUAGUGGUGUAAAUCGAACCGAAGAAGACAUUUGUAUUGAAGUGACUGGGCGUAUAACUGGAUAUGUACGUGGUCGUGGCCCCUCCAAGGCUAGUUUAAUUACACAAAAACUUGCAGAGAUAGAAGAAUUCAAGAAAAGGGCAGAACAAGCUGAGAAACGAUCAGUUGAAUUGGAAGUUCAAGUCCAAUCUCAACAGCAGCUGAUGCAAAGGCUUGAGAAUCAACAAGCUGAAAUGCAAAACCAGCAGCUUGAAAUGCAGGAACUCCUUAAGGCUUUACGAGCAGAAUUGCAGUCCAAGAACCAAGGCAAUGGAAAUGCAUCUGGUAGUAAUAGCUGGUAAUGCAUCCUUCUCAUACGAAUAAUUGAAUUACAAUACUAAUGUGAACUGUUGCUAUUCUGAUCCUUUAACUUAUUGAUUUUGGGGCUGAUGUUAUGCAUCAUUGUGGACUGUUUUUGAUAAUAACAUUUUUUGGGGCUGAUGUGACCUGUUUUUGGGUAACUUGUGGUCACUGUGGACUAUUUUUUGGUAAUAGCUGGUAAUAGCAUUUUUUGGGGCUGAUGUUAUGCAUCAUUGUGGACUAUUUUUUGUUAUAGUUGUGUAGUUUAUGGUUAUGGUUAUGGCUGAUCUGUUGGUUUUGGUAACUUGUGGUCACUGUGGACUGUUUUUUGGUAAUAGCUAGUAAUAGCAUUUUUUGGGGCUGAUGUUAUGCAGCAUUGUGGACUGUUUUUUGUUAUGAUUGUAUAGUUUAUGGUUAUGGUUAUGGCUGAUGUGUAGUUUUUGGUAACUUGUGGUCAUUGUGGACUGUUUUUAGAGAGCUCUUAGUUGAGCUUAUUGUUUUUGCUGUUGCUGUUGCUGUUGGAAACAAAAGACUAAGUCGCACUUUUUUAGUGGGGCUAUAGCACACCUCUUCCUUUUCUUCCGUACUCCGUCCACUGACUCGUCUGUUUGGAACUCCAAAUUAAUUUUUUUUCUGUGAUGAAGGAGAUGAGAAAUCUCUUUUAGUCAAGAGAAAGUCAAAUAUAGAGGGAACACUUGGGAUCGGAUUCCUAGUCAAUUGAAAAUUCUUUAAUAGAACUGUCAACCAGCUGCCAAUUCGUGACCUGUUUGGGCAGCGCAAUAUUAUAAUACUCGUGGACUAAAACAUUUAGCUAACUUCAUAAAUUUGAUGGAACCUCACUUUGGGACUGGGGAGGAUUGAGAGAGACGUUGGAAAGAGUGGAGCCAGUCAAGUGGAUUCCACUGCCUCUUUGCCUCCAUGGGAUGGGAUGACGGAUACCAAAUGCUGAGGCUGUUAAUUUGAGGUCCGAAUCUGUUUGCUACUGGGAUAGGCAGUUUUGCGAAAAUGGUGGUACGUUGGCUAUUAUUUAGUGCAGUUUUCAAACCCCUUUGGUCCCCUCCUCUACUCUACCUGGGGUGGUGCAGUCAGUGGCCCAAAAGCUUGCUUUUGCGUACCUGAUAUGCAAAAUGUGACCUAUUUAAAACGAGUACCAGCCGUAGCUUAGAUCGAGAGGUGGUUGAAUUAUUGAAUACUCCUAUCAUUUUUUGGGCUGGCUAGCUUUCUAUUUUCCUGCGCCCUUUCUCUAAUCCACAUCAUGGAGUUGCUGGCACUCUGUUUUGUCCAGCACCAACCGAUCAUUAUUGGAGGAUUCCACAUCAUGGAGUUGUCUUGAUUCAAUUUGGUACUGACCAUUUGUUUCCUCUCGGAGAAGGCAUUAGAAAGAUUUUUUUUUUUUUACAAAAACACACCAGUAGUAAUUUGUGUUCAAAUUCCUAUGCGAUCUGAUGUCUGCCGCUCGUAAUUAGAAGCCAUUGUGCUCCACAAAUUUAAAGGCAUUGUACUGAAGAAAGUUUCGAUCAAGUUACAUUUAGCCUAAAGGUUGCAUCGGACAAGAGGACUUAUGCAGUGUUGUAGAGAUGCUCUUUAGUUGAGCUUAUGCAGUGUUGUAUUUGUAUAGAUUGGACUGUGAUUUCUAAUUUCUUGUUGGUGUUGUAAUAUGUGGGCCCAAAUUAUAUGAGGUUCUUAAUGAAUUGUAAUUUUUGUCUUAAUAAUCUAAGUCUCAUCACUUGUUCUUUAUUAUUGUACUCCUCCCCUUACCUACUUCUUUUACUCUUUUAUGACAGAUAAAUGCUAUUCAUACUAGCUUUUGGAAGAUAUCUAUGGUUAUGGUUGAAGAACGUUGAAGACAAAAUUGCCUUUUGCUCAUGGAGUGGUUCAUUUAGAUGUUUUUCAAUUUCUUAAACUGUGAUUGCUUUUGUACUUGUACCUUAUGUAUAAGUGAUAUUUUGGACAAAUGUUAUUUUUGUAGGCAUUAGUUGGGUAAUGUACACUUGAAUUUGGCAUUUGAGAAUGCUAUAUUAUUACCAUGUAAUCUAAUGCAAAUACUUUUGGUUAUCAAUCGUUCAUGUUUAUUUGUAUGGUUUGUUUAAAAUCAAUGAUUUAGCAAUGAUUACAGGCCAAAUUAUGACUAUUAAGCUAUUGAGAAAUUAUUUAAUGACAAAAAAAAGUUGUCACAAAAUAGAAAAUAAAAACUCCUUGUCACAACAGAGGCUGUCACUAAAUCUAAGCUACAUUUGUGACGACAAUUGUUAUCAGUAAAAUAGUUAUAUACAAUGGCUUUCGGUGCUUUUUAGUGACGACUUUAAGUAGAGCAUUUUUGACAAAAGGUCAAGUCGUCAAUAAAACACUUCCGGAUUGUUGUCACUAAUGACAACUAUUUAGUGACGACUUCAGGUCGUCACUAAAUAGUUGUCAUUAGUGACAACAAUCCGGAAGUGUUUUAUUGACGACUUGACCUUUUGUCAAAAAUGCUCUACUUAAAGUCGUCACUAAUGAGAACUAUUUAGUGACGAAAUUUUAGGUCGUCACUGUUUACUUUUACCGACGGGGAUUUAGUGACGACUUUGUGACGAUCAAAAAGUCGUCAAUAAAAGGUAUUUGUGACGAUAUUUGUAUGUUCUGUGAUGACUUUGUAUUGUCACUGAUGAACAAUUUUCUUGUAGUGUCCAUGACACGGCUCCCCAUUGGAGCCGUGUCAUGGAGAUUACACGCAUCAUGGAUAUGAUGCGUGUAAAUCCAUUGAAGAUGGGCCCUAUGGCAACGGUAAAAUUCCAGCACAAAGCACAUUUAACAUUUCCAACGGUUAUAUCCAACGGCACUAUUUUUAGAAUUCUAUAUAAACACACAACACUUUUUGCUAAAACAUAUCCCAAUAUUCUACUCUAUUAUUUCUUUUAUUCUCUCACACACUUCUACUCCCUCACUCAUUUAAUUCAUUUUUUGUGAUUAUGGAUGAAAAUUGGAGUAGUUUUACAAAUAUGUUAAAUGCUCCAAAUAUAGAAAAUUCAUCAUCCUCACAAAAUCAAAACCCCCAAAAUUUUCCAAAUUACCCAUUUUCUGGUAUUCCUACAAAUGUGCAAAAUUAUGCAUUUCCCCCAAAUUUAUCCACUUCCAAUCAUCCAUCAAAUUUGUUUAAUUUCCUACGUAAUUAUUUUUAAAAAAAUAACAAUAUAUUAUUUUUGAAACAUAGAAAAAGAUAUAUUAUUCAAACUUAAAAAUUAAUAAUAUCAUUUUUAGAAAAUAAAAAAAUUCAAAAUGUACAAAAUUUAACGAAAGUUAGUACUUUAUUUUUUAAAAAUAACAAAAUUAGUUUUAAAAACUACUUUAUUUAUUUAUGGGAUAUGAGUUAUGCAUUAUUAAAAUAAAUAUUUGAUUAAUUGUGGACCCAUGCUAUUACACCUUGUGGAGUGUAAUCCAUUGUGAGUGAAAGUGUAAUAAAAGAGGAGAAAGUGGAAUGCUGACGUGGCAUGUGAAUUACACUCCACAAAGUGUAAUAGCAUUAUGGAUGCUCUUAGUGUAUAUACUGAAUGAAUGCUGAUGGCCUAGGCAAUUAUAAAAAUACCACAUUGAAUUCUUGAAAGCACUACUGCACUUUUCCAAAGAAACUCUAGAAAAACAAAAGAGUCAACUGUAUCGACAAUUAUGGUAAAUCUUACCUUCCACUUUGAAUAUUCUUAAAAACGAUUAACUCUUCUUUGCAUGGGAUCUUCCAUUUUGAAGCAUCUUCAAGCUCUGGCGAUGUCGAGAUUUUGAGGGAAGGGAAAAGGUGCUUUUUUGAGAAUAAUUGAAAUAUCACUUUAGAUUUCUACUCCUGAGAAGUGCAAGUGUAGUUGGCAAACUACUAAAUAGCACCUCCCAGAUAAGAGAUUUUUUUGUCUAUUGGUUUUAAAAUGGGAUUUCUGUUCUAAAUAUUGCAGUACUAAUAUUUGGUUUAGUUUGUCAAUGGCAUGAAAAGGAGUGGCCUACUUUAUGGACGUGUAAAUCCAAGAGUACACAUAUAUCACAUUCAUAUUUACUAAAUUCAGAUUUCAGAUUUCAGUUUUGUCAAACACAACCUUAAUCAAAACUAAACUAAAUUAUUUUAUUAAUUUCAUCACUUAUCUUUAGUUACCUAUGAAUUUACUCCUGCUUGUCUUUACUCAUGGUUCCAACAAGACAAUCCAGGAAAGAAUCAUAUGGGUCCAACAAGCAGUAGUUGAAAGCUCUGAUUUUACAAUCCAACCCUGUACUUAAAUGACUAAAACAAAAUGAAACCUGCAUUCCAUGUUAGCACCACAUUCUUUCUCUUCUGGUUAGACAUGAGGCCGCAGAAAAGAACAAUUGAAUUAAGAGUUGAUACAGUUUCUCAUACUCUAUUGUAACUGCAAAUUAGUUACAACUUUUCAAGGAACCAGACAAACUUUAGGUCUGGGAUUCCAUUUCCAUUAGACUAUGAAAUUAUCCAGGAGUUUUUAGUCUCCAACUAAGUACCGGUAAUCCGAGAAUCAUUUGACUAUUUCCAGCCUGUCUGUCAAAACCAAAACAACAGGGCUGCAAUACUGUCAUCUGCUAUUUGCAUGUAAUAUAUCACAAAGCUCUACUCUACAACCAUUCUGAUUGAAACUUCUACAGCUAUACACCACCAGAUCACCAAGGUUAAACCUGUAGAGAAGAAUUGUAUCAUUAGUCAAUUUCAUUUCACACCUUCACCACGUGCGUCCUGAGCUGGACUUUCUUUCUCUCAUGAAUGUGUGAUUAUACAGUCAAGACAUGUAAAACACCUUCAAUGAAAUAUGAAAACAUCAUGCUGAAAAUUAAAACUAUCAUAACUUAAACUACAGGCCAACUCAUAAACGGAAAGAGGAACAUUCAUGCCAUCUUACAUGAUAAUGGGCUCAAAGUGGACCUUCACUUACUAUGAAUAUUCAUUAAAGUUUUCCAUUUUUUAUUAAGUUACAAACUAUUAAAAAGUACAGCAAUGAAAAUAAAGGGUCAGUGGUUGGCAGUUUUAUUGCCAAUACUUAGUUAAGCAAAGAAAGAACCCCAAAGGUACAAGACGUCUCAGCCCCCUUGCUUUCUCCAGAACACAAGUACAGCAGACAUGUAAAAGGAGGUUACUACUUAACUAAGCACUUGAACCAGAUGAUCUGAGGAAACAUACUAGGGAGACAUGUAUAAAUCAUAUUUGUAACUACAGAAAGACCAUUACCGUGAAAAUAUUCUAUUGUAAUAACAUGUUACAAAAGCACCAUUACUGUGAAAAUAUUUUAUUGUAAUAACAAAAUGACGGUGGAACUCAAAGAAAAAAGGAACAUACCUAUCAAACAUAAACCUUCAUUAUAAGCUUCUUUUAAUGAUGCCACCAGUUAAAGAGAACUUCAUAUCCAUCACCUCAGCAAAUCCCAUGUACAUCCGUUCGAUGCAAAGCAAUCUUGCAUAAAAAUCACUAAAACUUCUUGCCCUAACACUACUAUUUACAUUUUUGAGUCACCAACUUGCAAAAAUUUACUGCUAAACAGAGCCUUCAUUCUAUGCAACAAGAACAAUGGUGUUAUGCUUCAAUCCCCCAGAUCCUACAGCAGCAACAGUCUCAACAUUCUCUUCAAGCUUGUCAGCAGUAGAAGCAUCAAGAUUACAUGGAGUGGUAGCCCCAUUCACAAACUCAAUUGUUGGUUUGGAAACUUCUCCACCUUCAAUAAGAAGCAAGAAGUAAGCAUCUUAACAGCACGGAUAAUAAAAUGUGUCAAGAUUUGAUGAAUUACCCAUAGUAGACGUUUUUCCUUCUGUGCAAAUAGGCUUCUGCAACAUAUCUGUGCCAGGAAAUGCAACCAUACUCAUAUACUUCAUUUCCUGCCUCUUUGAUUCCUCAAGGGGGAGAAAACCAAAAGCCUUUGUCCAUGUUUCUCUAACUUCAGCUACAGCAGGAAUGACCAGCUUCUCCACAUUAAGAGAGGAGAGAGCCUGCAACAAAUUUAGGAGAUUUAGAUCCAAAAGGUACAAGAUAAAGGGGGCAAAAUAAUCCAAAAGAUAGGAUAUGAAUAGGCAAACAACAUUAUAUGACCCCUUAGAGUGGGGGAAAGAUUAAAAUCAUGGAACCAGCAGAUCAAUGAAACAGACAACUGCAUGCAGAAAAAUCAGGGCAACAGUAAAACCCAUAAUGCAUUGUAAAUCAAUAUCUGAUCUAAAAUAAAGAGCUUGCACAUCACCAGCACCCGUAGCUGAAAGGGAACUCCAGCUGCAUAGAACUUUUGUUACCAAUGAACUUUUUUACCAACUCUAAUAAAAUAUUCUAAUAAAAUCAUUAAGUUGUUACCAGAUAUAACUUGAUUGAGAUACAUUUUGCUGAUAACAUUCAACACAUUAAAAAUCACAACUUCCACUAUGUAGAUGUCAAAGGUGGAUGCUCAGGUAAAGUCAUCAGUAUAUAAACUAUGACUUGUGAGAGCAGACUUCAGAAUAUCUGAAAGUGCAGUGUUUGGACAGUGCAGAAUACAUGAAUGGGAUUAGAAUGAAGAUUAACGCAGCAGAUUUUUGUUUUCUUUACUUUUCUUUUUUCUGGGUGAAGUCAAGCCAGCAAUUAGAAUAACAUGGAUGUAGCAGACACAAACAAAAAUAUGACAGGGAUCACUUGGCUUGUUCUCCAUAGAGCUCAUCUCAGUAAGAAACUUAAACAUAAAGUCUAUCACCAACCCCAGUGGGACCUAAACAUAAAAACGAACUUUGAAGCACAAAGUGGAUACAAGACAAAGAGAAGUAACAAGAUAACAAACAUGUAAUCCCUUCUACGGCUAUAAUGUUUUUCUUUAUAAAAUCUGCAGUAGAAUGCUCUCUUAGCUACUUAUACGCAUGUAUGCUUGUAUGUUCACAUUCUUCCAUCUUUCAACUUUUUACUGACAGGAUUGAGAUAGUGAGAAAUUCUCUACAAAUUCCACAUUAAUCCUUCAUAGAAUCUGGUACUGAAAGCAAUAAUGCAGUGGAAACACCUUAUCUUUUGAAGUUCUGGAAAUCUAGAACUUGUUCCAUUGUGCAGUCAUAAUACUUACUCGAGCAAACACAUGGGCAUUAAACACCACAUGAAUGAAGUACAUCCAGAAGCUUUGAUUUCCAUAGUGGGGCCUCUUAUAAGCAUUAAAGAAUUGACAAAAAUAUGAAGGUAUAGACAGGAAAUACCAGUUCAAUUGCAGUAAGAAGCCGACGGCACAUCCCUUGACGUCGAUAAGUAAAGCGAGUCCCUAUGAAAGGCAUCUCAGCUACCUGAUUCCCAUGCACUCUAUUGUUAAAAGAGAAAAAGAUUCGAGUGUUAGCUUUUAGAUUAUAAAGACGGGCAAAAAAUUAUGGCACACACAGAGAAGUUGGAUCCAAUAUUGCUUGAACUCUGGCAUUUCAGCAAAUCAGCAAACAGCCAAAUAAAUGGGCAAAAUAUCUAACGACCAUAGAAAGAGAUCAUCACAUAUAAGGUGCAUCUUUAUCAUAUUUACUGAAGGAGUACAUGAAAGUAAUUCAACAUUUAUGGCUUACAGUUUGACAAAUCAUUAUUAUCUAUGCAAGAAACCAGCCCUGGAUCUACCUUAAAAGAAAAGCUAUAAAAGUGACAAGAGUGGAGUUUGUAAUGGUAUUUUAAGACCACAAAAUCAAAAAGUAACAGUCACAACACUAUUUGGUGCAAAAUCUUUGAAUACCUAAUAUAUGGAAAGGUCUCAGAUUGGAAGGUCUCACAGAGAUCAUUUAAGAUCUUAGUAAGGGUUACAACAGAAAACAUUGGCAGUGGAAUCAAAACAUAUGCUUCCAGUUGACAGUCAUAUACUACUCAUUUCAUCCUUCGAGCGUUACUAACAAUCACAUUCUCUAUCUUGCUCAAUAGGGCCCUACUGGUUGGAUUCAUCACUUUGCUCACAUAUAAAAUAGAGUCCAGUGAAUAACCACACAAUCUUACAUUGUACGUGCAACUUGCCGUCAAAAUCCCAGAUACAUGCAAUGGCCAACUCAACCUGAGUAGACUAAAUCAUGACCAUAACUAGGCUAUUUAAUUGCUCGUUUCCUGAAGAUUUAUCUUCCAAGAAGACCAACAAGCCUCUGCUAUUUCCAAUACCAUAUCAUGCAAGCCACUCAAAAUAUGCAAGUUUGUUCGUGCUGUUUAGCAAAAAAUGAAAGUCAACAGUUAUAACUUAAUUGUUUAUCCUAUUGUAAACAAUAAAGGGUAAUAUCUGCAUAGAUGAUUGCAGUUUGGGUCAUUAAAUCAACCAGAUUAACCCAGCAUGUAAAUAAGUAUGAUCAUUCUCUUCAUGUUUCUUAUUGCACAUAAAUAUAAACAAAAAUAAUAGAAAGGGAAAAAAAUUAAGGCAUGUGAUAGUUUCAGAAAUUCUGAUGGCUCAAAAAACAUUGCAAGGCAACAGAAGAACCAACUCACAACCUUACAGCUGCUGCAGAGACAAGUUCAUCUCCCCUCUCUAAAAUGAAAGUAUAGAACCACUGGAAGUUUAGCCUUCUCAAAUUUGAUCUGGGAAAGAAAAAUUGUCAAUAAAUAUUACAUUUUAUUCUACGCUCAAGCUAAUGUGCAUAGUUGGUAGAUUAGCUACAUAUUCGAAAACAAGUAAUAAAAAUUUAUUUGGAAGAUUAGCAAAGGAAACAAGAAGGUUCUCCAAAAAUUAACCACUUUACAGCCAAAAGAAUAAGCCAGCACCAAAGAAUAUCAAAGAAUGGAAAGAUGACAGGUCAUUCAAGCGUCAAGUGCAAACCCCGUAAAAUAAGAAAAGAAGUAAAUCUUCACCUAUCAAGAGUGGAAAAAAAGUUUGGUUGCAUGGACUUAUCAAAUGCAUUGCUAGUUUCAUCUAUUAAAAGUCUUUGUUGUAAGUGAUGCUAAUACAGAUGAUACAAAAAAAUAAGGCAUAAGUUUCAACAUCAAUAAAAGGAACCUAGACCAGCUAGAUCUCCACCAAAAAUAUAGAGUAUAUUAAGAAUAAACAGCUGCAAUAUAAGAAAACACAAACUUGACUGCAAUGUGAUUGCCAAAUUAUUAUUUCAUUGUUGCCUAUACACCUGAAAAUAAUAAGAAAACAGAAAAAGCCACUCCUAUAACCUUCCCAAGUAUUUUAAGACACUCCACAACAGUGCUAAAAAAAUUAAGCACACCAAAUAAGGAAAAUGAUAGGUACGUACCCGCAGCUGUAUAUCACACUCUGAAUCACAUUAAUGUUGCUUCUCUCGUCAAUGAUAGGUUCGAAACACUCGUCCAUGAGGGAAAGUGCGAUGGCCAACUUAGAAUUGCAUAGAACCUCCAAUGAAUCAGCAUUACCAACCACAUCGGUAACAACAUCUUGACGACGAAGAACGGUCCACGAGUAUCCUGCUUCCAACUCAUGUCUCACACCAAGAAGCUUCUGUAGAUUUUCAUAUAGCUGUUUAAAGAAUUCAGUACAAUUAAUAAAAGUGGGUAAAAGUUCAUAUUAACCAUAAGCCUAAUCUAACUAUAAAUAGGGCAGAGGUUGUGUUAAAGCGCAUUUAAUGCAUGAUAAACCUCUAGAUAAUAUAUCCAAACCCAAGUAUACAUCAUUUGGCAGGAUAGAAUAAGGAGAAAAAAAGCCAAAUGCUGACCAACCUAGAAAUAAAAAGUGGAAUGAAUACGUUCAACAAAACUAAGCAAAAUGGAUCUCUAUCUAUCACAAGAUGCAUUACUGCCAAGCAUUCACAUAGAUGCCAGAAAGGUAAGAGCAAGAUCUGAAAUAUUAGAACGAGUAUAGCGUGAAACACAAAUAAUGGAAUCCUUGAAUAAAGCUUAACCAACCAUAAAUCAUAUAUUUGUGGACUAAAUUCAGUUACCGUAAAACUCAUGUCCACAGAAAAUGCACUCAUGUUCCUCAACAUAACAACUGCCCAGAUAUGUUCAAGAAUUUUUAGCAUGUACACAUUCUGUCCAAAUUUGCUUACUAACUAGAGGCACAAUAAAUGCAUCAAUAUUAAUCAAUAAGCUCAUACUUUACGAGUUUGCUAUAGUUAAGUCAUGAUGUUGUAUCUCAAAUUUCUGCAUGGUUAUAAAAGGUUAUACUCAAACUAGAGCAUCAGGUAUCUCCCCCUCAAAAAAAGAAAAAAAAAUCCAUGCCUUGUGAAGUCCACUAUUUAGUGCAGUGGCAUUUAACAAAUUUAGGCAUCAACAUAUGGCCUUCAAUGUGCAUGAACUAAGAUGAGCACAUGUGCUACAACUCGAGUCCUGUUGAAAUACAAGCCAAGUUGUCUGCAAAGAGGAACGUGUUUACAUUAUAUAAUCAGUAUCAUACCUUCUGGCAGCCCCUCCCACAAAAUGAAAAGUCUGCUGCAUGAUUGUCUACAGCAUCCUUUCCCGGUCUGCAAUGAGUAUGGACUGCAUUGAAAUGGGACAGGUUAAAAGUUAUCAAAAAUGAAACAGAAAAUGAGAAAUUAAAGCAAAUGAAUGUCACAGAAAUUACAGGAGAUUGUAUAUAUUUACUUACAUAUUUCUUCACAGAAAUAGCAUCUGAACCUUUCAUAGUCAUCCAUAUAAUCAAUCAGAACAGGAUCAACUUUUUUCUUAUCAGGAUUCUCCUCCGUGUCAGUAGCAUCAUCUGUACCAGGAGCAUCAUCCGUACAAGGAGCAUCGUCUGGACCAGGAGCAUUCUCAGUACCCGGAGCAUCAUCACUCAGGGAGGCUUUCUCAGAGAUCUUCUCACAGAACUCAGCAGAGAAUGCCAUCCCACAGAACUUACAGGAACAGUAAACACACCGCCAAUAUCCAACUGGCUCGUGCUGCAAUGGAAAGUGAGGAAGAUAUAUCAUCUGAACUAUUUAGAAAGGAGAGAAAACUAAAAGAAUAGGAGGCAAUAGGCCAUAGUCACCAUACUUCCAUCUGCAAGCAUCUAUGAUGAAAUGUUGAUGAGCAACCAUCACAACAGGUCAAUUCACCACCAUCUGCACAUAUGUUACAGGUAUCGUCAUGGGGAUCAUCACCAGCAGCAACAUCAACAUUUACUUGAUGGAAUCCUAUAUUAUCAGUCUUUUCUUGUUUACUCCAUGAUUCUCUAAUGCACUGCAGAAGUGAAUGUCCAGACUCCAAAAAUAUGUUCUCAUAAGCCUGGCCCAGUGAGCUACCAGCAUGAGACUUAAAAUCUGCACAAGUCACUACUUUACCACAACAAUCACAGGAUAUACCCUCGCUAGUUAUCCUCCCUUCGAGCAGCAAAGCAGUUCUUUCAUGAUUCAUGCACUGCACCUUGACCCCUGGUGAUACAGUUCCCCAGUCAAUCAUCCACGAAAGUAGAGUGCGUUUCCCCUUGUACAUCUCAAAACCAUCAGCAUCAUGGUCAUUUUCAGGGCAACGAGCCAAAAGAGUACAAGGCUUUCUUUCUCCUUUCUUUCUUGAUUUUGACUUUCUCCUUCCUGAGAAUAUCACUUGGUUACCUUGCUCAGAAAUAUCCACCUUCUUCUUCCUAGAUGGUUUCUCUCCGACAUGUGGGUUAGCAUUGGAGUUUCCUUUGCACUUGGAGAGAGCUGUGCCAUCAUGCCCCUUUCCAGUCUUACUCCCACCCACUUUUGGUAGCUUUUUGCAUUUUUUCCCUUUCUCUUUCGUAAUUCUAUACAGUUUGCUAAGUUCAUCCUCUGGAAUCAGAGUAAAAGCAGAUAUGGCCUUGGCAUCUGCAGUCCCAUUUUCGACCAUUACUUUAAGCUUUUUAUAUGCCAAGGUAACUGACCAGUAAGUUCUUCCUUGAUGGUCAACAUAAACUGCAUCACAGUACUCUUUGCUCAUUCUUGGUCGAUACUCAAUUGUCCAACCUGCCUCCUUGAGAAUGCUGAUGAUUCGAUUUCUCAGCAGCUGUUUUUCUGUGUUGCGUCCCACUUCGCCUUCAUUUUUGUGAUUGCUUUUCUCCUCCUGGAGCUUAGGCAUGUCAGACUUCACUUUUUCCUUGUGCUUUUUUACCUUGACAACUUUGGCUCUCCGUAAGUUGAAAUUUCUCUCGGAUCCUGCUUUUGUUUUCUCGCCGGCAGCCACCUUCAAGUUUCCACUUUUCCCGUGAACUUUAGGAGGUCUUCCACGACGGCCCUUCACAGUUUUCCUUCCCCUCCAAGGAGGUCGAACACUUUCGUCAGCUUCAACCUUUGUCUUUAUAAUCUCCAACUGGCCUUCAUGGUCUCCUGCAUUCCCUUCUCCCUGAGCCUGCUUCACACUACCAGUUGAAGCUAUUGUCCUAGACCUCAAAACCCUUCCAAGUAUUAGAGGCCUAGCUUCCACAGCCAACUUUUGAACCUUCUUUCCCCCAUCUUCACUAACCCCAUCACCACUAGGAUUCGUCUUCCUUUUCCUUCCUCUGCGGCCCUUGCUAGUUUCCUGCCUGCUUUCACCAGUACUAGGAUCAGCAACCACAUCUCCAACCAUAUCAGCAUCUCUACCAUCUUCCAAAACUUCAUGCGUACUCCCAUCCUCCCCAAUUUUUGCAAGUUUAGCACUCUCCACCUUCAGGGACUGCAGUUCCGCACCCCCAUCACCAGAUAGUCCACUCGCCGCCACCUUUCUUUUUCUCCCUCGUCGUUUUUUACCUACCACUUCCCCGCUUAUGCUAGCACCACCACUCACAUCAACAUUUACAACACCAAUAUCAGCAGCAUUUGUAUGACAUGCCAAAGGUUCAGACUCGCUCACCUGCUCAGUGACUAAACCUGCAUUGGUCGAAGGAAAAUGAAACUCAGCCUUCCCCACAGCAUCCUCAGAAUAUUCACCACCAUUGCUUUUCAAAUUGUUUUCUUCCUUCCCUUCGCCCCCCUCUCCUUGUCCAACAUCAUCAGCGUCAGCAUUGUCAGCAACCUCCAUAUUAACACUAGAAUAAACAUCUCUACCGUCUUCUUGAGCUGAAAAAUAAUCAGUAGAAGAAGGCGAGGCAGAAGAGGGCAUUUUAUUUUCAGUAGGUUCCUUAUUCAAAUCAAGCAUUUCCCUUUCCCCUUUCUGCCGAGCAUUUGAUCUCAAACCCUCCCUCAUCUCCUUUACCAAACCCUACAAAAACAAAAUCCCACAUAAAAUCCAAAAGGGUUUUCAAAAAGAAGUUAAAACCAAAAAAAGGAGAAAUCAAAACAAGACGGAAAGACGGAAACUGGAAACACUAAAUACUAACCUUUUCCAGCAAUUCCAAUUGAAAAACUUCAAGAUUUUCUAUCUCCUAACAGACGCUGAAAAAGAAUUAUAGAUUACACUAGAUUUCCAACCCAAAAAGGGACAAAAAUCGCAAAUGUACCAGGGAAGCAAUUAAAAUUUACCCAAAAAAAAAAAUCAAACUUCAUACCAAAAAACUUACCAAUAAAGAAAAAUUUCCCGAAUAAUCAAUCAAGAUUGAAUCAAGGCCUUCUCCUCGAAAAGUCAAUCCUUCAAUGACCAGCUGCAUUAAAAAAAUUCGGGAAAAAUAAAAAAAUCGAAAGGGGUUUUAGAUUUUGGAAGGGGAAAAUAAAGGGUUUUUGGGAACUGCGGAAUUUGAGUUCAAAAGGACAAGAAAUGGAUGUCGGAGUAUAUAUGGGUCCGAGGUCGAUGAAGUGAAUUACUCUUUAGGACUGACGGGUUUGUCGAAUAGCGCUUAGACGGGGCUACAUUUUGGGGAAGAUGGGGAGGACCACGGAGGGCUAAUUUUGUAAUUUAAAAGAGGUAUGUUAAGAACUUUACAUGAAUUUCCCUCCAUAAAAUUGAAUCAAAGAAUUUAAAGAAGGAAAUUAAAAUAAAAGUUUACAGACAGUGGUUUGACUUUUGUUUGAUGGCAUCUCGUUUUAAGGGAUGGGGGUUUAUUCUAACAAAAUUCCACAGUUUAAGAACAUUUUGGACCAACUUAUCAAGAAGAGGGAAAUAAUAAAAUUUAGCCAACUUUGAUUUUUUUUUUUUAAUUGUAAGAGAAUAAAAGUAAAAAAAUAAAAGAAAUAGCUUUUGAAUUUUCUUUUUUCUUUUUUUAGAAAAUUUUGGUUCCAGAUCAAAGUCAAGCAUGAUUUUGGAAAGAAAACUCGUACUCAUGAAUCAUUAUUGAUUAAUUACUAAAAGAUCAUAGAUGCAAACUCAGUUUUCAACCAAAAAAAAAGUAAAAAAAGAGAGACAUGGUUAAGUGCAAAUUUUUACUAAAAAAUAAAAAUAAUAAAAAGAAAAAGAAAAUAGCUUUUUGGUUUUUUCCUUUUUUUAAUUUUGGUAUCUAGAUCAAAGUUAAGGAUGCAUUUGAUAAAACUAAAGUCUGAAGUUUCAAAUCUAAAAUCUGAAUCCAUUAAAUUAUUGAAUUGUUAAGUAUUAGUAAAUGUAAUGCAUUUGAGUACAACCAAUAUUCAAUAAUAAGUAAAUAACUUAUCACUUAAUUUUGGGAUUAAGUUUUGUCCAGAAAAUUUAGUGCCACUUAAUUAAUUUAGAUAUUCAAUUUUUGGUUAUCAAACGGUCUAAAUAUGUUAAGAUCUAAAUUCAUUAAAUUUAAGUACUGAAUUGGAUUAUCAAACAGUACUGAAUUGAAUGUGAUUUUCAAUAGAAAUACUCAAACUCAUGAUAGAUUGAAAGGCAUUGUUGAGUUGCAUGGGGUUGAAAAGGUUUUGGGGAAAAUUAAUUGAUUUAGAAAAAAAGUAUACCUCAAGAAAGGGAUCAAUCAAAAUUGAAUUGUAAAUUAAACCCGAUCAACUGCUAGGUAAUAGUGAAACAAAUUAAUGAAAAUUUUGGCUAAUCAUAAAUUCCAAAAUGAAAUAUUUAAACCUAGAUUUUGUCAUUUAUUUUGAUUAAUUAAAUUAUUUGCUAUCAUAUGAAUAUCCACAUUAAAUACACAAACUAGAAAAUUCUGAUUUCUUAUCCUAAAAAAAAAUUAGAAAAUAGAAUCAUGAGAAGAAUUUAUAGAUCUAAUAGAUCCGCUAUCCAAGAAUAUACUUCUUGACUCAAUAAAAAAUAUAUUAAUUUUUCAAAAUCAUUUUAUAUAUUUGUCGACAUUCUAAAUUGAGUAACUUCUAAGUGCUCUUUUUUUAAAAAAAAAAAAAAAAGAUCAUGGAUAUGAUUACUAAGUAAAUUUGAGGAUCAUCCAAAUGGGAUUGCAUUUUUUUCCAAAAGAAAAAAGCCAUAGGGUUUGAUUAAACUUUUGCUUUUGAAGAUCUCUUCUGAUAUAAAUCAAGCGGUUCUACUAGAAUUGAACCAAAGAAUAAUGGAAAAUCAAGUAAGGGAAUUUAGAGUUUGAUUCAGCAAAGAUCAAACAGUUCUAAGUUGUUUUGACUCUCACUGAUUAUGAACAAUUUGCUCUCAAACUAUUCUAUUCGAUUUUUUUUUUUUUGGGUGACCAAAAAACUGUCUUUCUAACUCUUGGGGUGUUAAAAGAAAGUUUUGCACUUUUGUGGGGUAGCUUGGUGUGAUGAAUCAUACCUAUAUUUUGGCACUUGUCUUAUCUAGCUCAGAACCCUCCAAAAGAGCACUAAUCGUGCAUUUGCUGUUUCUCGUCUUGUGUCUCCAAUUGUAAAAGAACAUAAACCUUCUUUUUUUUUUAUCACAAAAGGACUGAGAUUUCAUUUGAUCAAAUUGAAAAACAUAAACCUUGAAUUACUUUAAAAGCUUAUAUAAAAAACACGUAUUUCUCCUGCAAAAAUUUAACGAAAAAAUUUUGGUUUAUGGCGAAACUUAAAAGUAUAUAGAUUUUCUAAUAUCAAACUAUGGCAAGUCAACAUCGCAUGAAACUAUUAGAUGUACUAACGAGUGCACGUUGAGCACCGUUAGGAAAGCUUAAUUAUUGUAAAACCUUUAUUUUUUUCCCAUUUUUGGUUAGUCAUCUUAAAUAUUUGAAGCUUGAUUCUUAAUUACUUUUUUUUUUUUUUGAUAACCUGUAGAGUAACAUGGUCUGUCUAAACUUAAGGAGCUUUUAAAUUUCUAUUAUUAUCAUAAAAGCUGGCAUGAAGAACAGGUUUGCACUAACUAAUUAAUUAGCCAAUUAGUGGAGAAUCGAAUAUUAAGACGUACUCGAGUAUGCUGUUAUUGGAGUCACAUAUCGACUGAAUGAUAAACUUUUGGGACUCAUUUCAAUAUACUUGUGAAGUUGACUGCUACUUAGUUGUUUACUCUUAUGCACUAAUAGGCCCCUUUAUAACUUUUAAGAGUGUAAUUAGGCUCGAGCUUGCGAUAUAGAUUUCUAAUUAUAUUUGGGGCAUAUUUGUAUUUUAUCAUCGGUUUUUUGCUUUUUUUUUUGGGGCAAAUGAGAAGAACAGCAUAAAACUAAGACUCUGUUUGGACUGGGGAUUUUUUGAAAAUUAAAUUUUCAAUUACAAUGCCACAGUAAUACACAAAUAAAAACAAUCUCAAAAACACUAAAAACAACUUCAAAAAUACAAAAAAAAAGCAACCUCAAAAAUAUAAAAAACAACUUCAAAAAUACCAAAAACUUAAAAAAUACCAAAAAUACAAAAAAUAACCUCAUCCACGGCAAUAGCUUUUCAAUUACAUUGCUACAUUAAAAUAUUUUAAAAAUACAUCUAAAAACAACUAAUCCAAGCCUAAGUUAAUAGUUUUCUAACUGUUUUUGGACAUAUUCAUUUAAGCUCGACUAAAGUCAAUCAAUCAAACUUUUAAACAAACAAAAUAUGAAUGUCCAAAUUCAAAAUAAUAUAUCUUUUUCAGUGAUUGUUUCUAUAAAUUUGCCCCAAAGACCAUAACAAGUCCAGCUAAUGAUUGCAAGAAGACUUGGCAUCAUUACAAAAGCCUACGUGGGGUCUUUACUCUAGACUUAAGGUCCAUGGGAAGCCCUUCCUGUCACCAAUUGGCUGGAUAGGAUUUCUCUGUGGAUCCCCUUAGGUUGCUUCUUCUGGGCCAGUUUCUCGAUGGUUCCUGUGUGUAUUGAGCGUUGGUGUGUGUGUUGGUUUUCUACUAGUGGAAAGACAAAAGUCUACGUUCAGUCUUCACACUGCAAUAAUGAGUAGGGUCCAUGAUCAAUAAAUGGCAUUUGGGAGAAUUUUGUUGCCAUAGUUUUCAACAAGAACUUUCCUAUUUUGUGUUCUAUAAUUAUGUACGCCAUAGUUUUCAACGAGAAUUUUUCCUAUUUUGUGUUCUAUAAUUACGUACACCGUGCCUUGCUUGGAUUGUAAGUUUUUUAGAAAAAUUUUGAUAUUUUUCAUGAAUACGUUUUUUAAUUAUUUUUUAUCUCGUAUAUAUCUAAUCAUUAUAGUAUAUUUUUCUACAAAAAAUUCUAAAAAUAGCAAUCCAAACUCCUAAAAAUAGCUAUAUUUUCAGGCAAAAACUAAUAAAAUCAUCAUAAUCUUACACUUGAAUAAUGUGUCACUUGGUCGCAUAAUGAGUUAUUAGGUAAAGAAGGUGUCAUUAUAUCCUUUGAUGUCUAUAUAUUUAUUUCAUGUUCCCAAUGAAUUUGGUGGUGGAGCAAUUGAGCAAAUUAUCUGCCGUUUCAAUUUUGAAAAAAAAAACAUAUGUUACUCUGUUAAGUGUAAACAAUUGAUGAAAAAGUUACAUGGUAUUGGAGAGUUUUUACUAGACAAGCGCGAAAAAGUACAAAAAUCACAUGAAUUAAUGGAAAUGGGGCUACAUAUAUUCAAAUCUGGAAAUUAAAACCUAUAUGGACAAAAUAAUAACACAAGAUGGGCUUAAAUACAUAUAAUUGUAAGGUAAAUCUACUAUUAUUGGUAAGGCAAAGUUGGGGAAGAAGGGCAAUGAAAUUCCUCAAGAUUAAAGUAGUAACAACCCUUGCUUGCCCUGGCUUUUCUACUUAGCAAUAAGCAAAAGAGUUGGCCCCAGGGUUCUUUAGCAAGGGAAGUUUUAUAUAUGUAUAUCCAUUCCUAUAUUUAUGUACUGAAUAUGUUGUACUUCCACCAAAGAUUGUACCAAUCUUCAAUUAACAAUAACUUUUGGUAUCCUUGGAAAGUUUUAAUUUCUCACCGUAUGAAAAACAAAGUAGGGUUAAUGCAUAUCAGGAAGCAAUUAAUAUUUGCUAGUUCUAAAAACUUCUUCAUUACUAAAACUAGGAGUGUGUAAGAUCGAAAAAUUCCAAUUUACCACUGAAUUCCAAUUGAAUUCGGAAUUCGGAACUGAAGUCAGGUUUUUUAAUUUUGAAUUAUGCAAAUUUGGUUCGAAUUCGGUAAUGAGAUUUUUCAAAUCGGAAUUUCCGAUUUAGAAUUCACAAUUCGAAAUCGGAAUUCAGAAUUCCGAUUUCGAUUUCAAAUUCAUUUUUCAUAUAUAUAUAAUUUUGAUAUAUAGAUGUAAUAUAACAUUUAUAUUAUAAUAAUAAUUUUGAUAUUCCUGAAUUCGGUGAAAUAGGAAUUUACCGAAUUCCGAAUUGAAUUCGGAGUUAGCGAAUUCGAAAUUGAAUUUGGUCAAAAAUUCUAAUGCCAAAAUUUCAAAAAAUCUUAAUUUCAAAGUUUCGAAUUACCAAUUUCGUUUUCAUUCACACCCCUAGCUAAAACUACAAUAAUUGUACUGAUAACAGUACUAAUCCACUAGUAGAGCAUGGGGGAAUGUAGAAGACUAGACAAAUUUACGCGGGGGCAAUCUUGAAGUUCCAUAGGCCUCUUUUGAAAGACAUUUAGUAUUUUUUUUGGCGGUCUUGUUAUGGGGUGGCGGUGGGGUAGGAUGCUGUCGGCCUCUCUGUCUAAGUGUCUAUUGAGGAAAAGCCAUUUAAAUUUCAAGAAAAGUUGAAUUGGAGGGUGAACUGGCCAUUUUCAACCUAAGAGCCUAUUUGAAUUGCAUUUUUUGGAGGGUUUGUGGAAAAGAAAAUUAUUGUAGCACUUUUUUAGAAUAUAAUGUAUAUGAGGUUAAAAAAUAAUUAAAAAAAUAUAUAGAAAGAAUAUUUACGAAAAACAUAAAAAUUUUCUCCAAAAAAUUGGCAAUCACAAGGCAUAAAUAUUUCAAGUUUGUGUCGUACUGGAAGUUCAUCUCCUCUGGACAACUAGGCAAAGCAAGUUCGCAGUCCUAUCCUUUUCGAUUUGUAUUUUGCUUCCCGUACCAGACAAUAUGCGUCAUUUGGUCUUCUAUAUGAGCUGUUUUUGUAUUACUUUUCGUCUCAUGUGUGUUACUAGCUUUAUAGUUGUUUUUGUUGUCUUUUAUAAUACUAUUACUCAUUCUUUGAUGUGUUUUGUUGGGUAAUUCUACUUUUCAUUUUAUAUUUUGAUUGAAAAUUUGUUGGCUAUGUUUAGAAAGAUUGAUACCCAUCAUAUGUUCAUGUACAUUAUGCAACUACUUGAGUGAAAUGCAAAUUCUUUUUUAUUUCCUUCAGAAGCUUUACAGAAUUAUUAUGAAGCUACGCGACUAGAAAUUGAUCCCGAUGAUCAAAAUUAUAUACAAAGUGGAGAAAGAAUGAGAGACUUUCAAAUUUGUUCUUGAUCUUUUUCUUUGACCUUUCAAAGUUUUCACUUCUUGUAUACAUUCUUUUUCUUUUGCAACCUAUAAUUCAACAGUAAUGACAAUUCUUAAAUAGGGAUAAUUUCAGAAAUCUCCCCUGAGAUUUUUCAUAAUAUUACUCAAUUCCCCUCAAAUUUUUAAAAUCUCACUUACCUCCCUUGUUAACUCGACAAGACAAAAUAUUCCUAUCAAAUGUCAUAAAUUGACAACAUUACCCUUGCUCUUAAUAACUAUUUAACCAAAAAGUCAAAACAAAAUAAAUUUUAAAAGCAAAAAAUGUAAAUUAAAGAAAAUUGCUAGCUAAUAAUGGUCAAUAUUUCUUUACAUUGGGGUCAUGGUGAGAUAACAAAGGAUGUGGAUAAAUUAAAUCUAAUCAAUAUCAAUCGCUUAGGAGGAUUUUGGAGAGUAAUUAACACUUUAAAAAAUUUUGUGUAUAGUUAAAACAUAUAUGCACGUUAGAUUAGGUAAUUUCAACUUAAUGAAAUGAAUAAAUUAUGGAUUAAAACAUAUAUGCACAUUAGAUUAGGUCAUUUCAACUUAAUGAUAUGAAUAAAUUAUGGAUUAAAACAUAUAUGCACAUUAGAUUAGGUCACAUCUGAGAGAAAUUUUAUUUGGAAAUCAUAAAUUUUUGAUAUCACAUUUAUCCUUCUAUGUUUCUAUCUGUGUCAUCCAUAUCUCUCUGACUAAUUCCUUUCAUUAAUUACAUUUCUUUAUAUCCUUUCAUUAAUUGCAUCUAACGUGAAAACCCUAAGGCAUCUCUGAUUGUUAAAUAAUUAAUAUCAAGCAAUCUAUUGCUGCAGGAAGAGUUGAGCAAUUAGGGUUUAAUUUUUGGGGAAAAUUAAUAGAAUUUGUCCUAAUUUGUUUAGAAGACUAUACAGUACUGAAUUUAUUGACUUAAAACCAAAUCUGUCCAAAAGGUAUUUUAUGUAUGAUAUUAGUCCUAAGCUUCACUUUUCUUUUUAGAAUAAUACCUAAAAUAAUCUGUUUCCUCCUUUAUAUUUUCUUCUUUUCUUUCCCCUUCUCUUACUUCUUUCGUUUAUUUUCACAUCUAAACCCUAAGCCCUUGAUUCCAUUUACUUCUUUCAUUUAGUUUCAUAUCUAAACCCUGAGCCCUUGAUUCCAUCUACCAUACAGCUUUAAUUGGAUCAUUGUUUCCACAGAAGAACUCGCCGUAAACUUUUAUCCUUUGUCAUGGGGGGGGGGGGGGUAAAGAGCUGAUAAAAGAAAUUUGUGGGGCAACAGGGAGAAAAAUGCAAUUACAACUCCAAAGAUGUAUGUCAAAUUGUAAUUAACAAUAACAAGCCUCUUGGAAUCAUCCAUGAAUGUCCCUAUUUACAACAUCGUCAUGAAUUGGGGCCGAAAUGGUAAACUAAGAAGACUUCGGUAUUUAUUUAUCUGAGCAAAUUGCACGAAAUGUCACUAAACUAUUAUAAUGUACUAAACUUUUUUAUUAGCCAAAAAUGUUACCGAACUAGUAAAUAUAUAUCGUUUAGAUCACUCCGUGUACUUAUGUCAUCAUGAGAGAUGAAAAGUUACUUUUUCAUGGACAAUUUCGUCUGCUUGUUUGCGAAUUCAAUAUCUGUGAACUAAAUCAAUGCAUGUUCAAGUUCCACACAUUUGCCAAUGAACCAUCCACAAGAACACCACUAAAUGGAUGAAUGAUAAACAUGCAAAAAAAAAAAAAAAAACAUAAAGAAGGAAUCACUUGCAGCUCAACAUUAAUGAACCAGGUAUCUACUUGGUUUAAUAGUUCUUCCUAUACUUUCUUCUUUUUCAAUGCUAGUAAGGCCCUAUCUUUCUUCUUUUCGCAGACCAAGCCCCUUGUAGCUUGCUUCUCAGCCUCAAUCACAUUCUUCGGCUGAGACACCGAUGAUGAUGGAACAUCACAAAUUAUUAUGUGCAUUUUCAAUCACACGCUAAAUUUGCAUUGUUUGAUCCUAAAAUAGUCGAGUUCUUUAACAUACCAUCAUCUAUAGACUCUAAAUAAUAGAACAUUCAAAAGCUUAAAAAUAUUGAAUCUUUACAAUACUAAAAGCAAUCCCACAAAAAAAAACAAGCUUAGGCCUUUGGGUCUUGAGGGAGAGGAUUGUCUGAUCCACCUCUGUUAUUUUUGGUUUCUUCACAAAUACAUAUCCCAUUAUUCAAUCCCCUCUAUCGUAAGACCCCCCAAGAAAAAGCAAAAAAAUUGAUGAUUGAAAAGCUAUUAUUCCAAUCCAAUUAAUGAACAGUUAUACCAAUUAAAAUCCAAACUUUGUGCUUAAUAGAAAUUAUUGUACAACCAAACGAAAUAGAAAAUCUGAAUAUGAUGAAAACCCAAAAAAUUUCUCAAUUUUUGGAAGACCCCAGGAGGAAAACAAAAGAAAGAAAGAAAGAAAAGGCUAAAGCCCAAAUGCUGAAAAGUUUAACAAAGGGGUUAGCUGUUGACUCCUGGGCUCUGGUGCUCAACCGAGACAUUUAAUGGAUCAAUCAACUCAUCCCUUUGCCUUUUCAACCAUUUCGCUGUCGCCAAUCACUUGUGCUUUACUGCUAAUUUUCAUCUUCGGCCGAUGCUUUGAUUCUCCUCACUAAUUACUCUGAUUUUGCUGGAUUAAUGCGCAACUUUUCUCAUCGAUUGUUUGCUUUGUCGGAAAUUUUGUCAACAUUUUAAACCCUACUCACCCCUAGGGGUGGAACUGAACCAAGUAGCUCGGCUCGAACUCGCGAGCUACUUGGUCAGCAGCUCGAGCUCGAUCUCGAACUCGAACUGCUCGUUAGAGCUAUCGAGUCGAGCUCGAUCUUGGAAAUAUGACACUCGAGAACUCGACGAGUUCUAUCGAGUUUUUUAUAAUAUAUAUUUUAAUUUUUAUUAUUGUAAAAUGUCAAUAAUAUCCUUUAUUUAAAAUUAUAUAUAAAAUAUUAAUUUUUAUUACUUGAGCUUGUUUAGGCUUGAUUGAGCUCGAAUAAGCUCGAUUGAGCUUGAUUUGAAUUGAUUACAUUUAAUUAAACUUGAGCUCAAGUUCGAGCUCGAGUUCCAUAAAUUAAUGCCGAGCUCGAGCUCGAGCUUAGUUAUUUUGCCUCGAGUCGAGCUCGAGUAGUGCACUUAGGGAUGGCAAUGGGGCGGGUGACCGGCGGGCACUCGCCCCGCGGGGGACUGUUGGGGCGGGGGCGGGGGGUAAUUUUAUUCCCCCGUUUAGAAACGGGGCGGGGGACGGGGAUACAUUCCCCCGCCCCAACCCCCGCCAAAAAAAAAUAUACAUAUAUAUAUAUAUAUAUAUAUAUAUAUACACACAAAAGUAACAAAAGAACAAACGAAGAAACGAACCUCCAUACUUCUCACACCCUCUCUGCACAUAAUAACAAACCAUGACCAGAGUUUGAGUCUUCCCCCGCAGACUUCUCAUCAUCAUCAACAACUAGUGCAUAAUUUAAACUAGGCCCACUAGCUACUUUGCCAACAGGAGUAAAAUUGUCAGCGUCUACCAAAUCAUCAGCAACAUUGAAAUGCAAACUAGGCUCACCGCAACUUUGUUGAUAUUUCUGCUUCAAUCGUUGUUGAUUACUAGCACCAAAUCUUCCAGAACAUCCAAAUGCUGGGCUCUUCAGAUUUGCCCUCAAAUCAGAAGAAAGUUUCGACCUUUGGGAAGAAGUUUUUGAAGCGGGCCUUCUAGCGGAUUGCCACUGGGAAAGGAAAGAAGGGUUCUUUUUAAAACUUUGUGAAGACGAUUUUUUGGGCACAUCAUUUUCGUUAGCAAUUGAUUUAUUAGAUCUAGGCCUGGAAGAAUUAGAAGCUGAUUUUGGGGCGGACUUGGCAACGAGGGGUUUAUUUCUGAGUUUGAAAUUGGGAUCCUUCUGAAGAUCGGAACUCGAAGAAGAAGAAGAGGAGCGAGGUCUUGAGUUUGACGUGGAGGAAAGCAGAAACUUG
rnacentral:lncRNA from 1 species